rnacentral:lncRNA from 1 species
UCUCUCUCUCUCUCUCUCUCUCUCUCUCUCUCUCUCUCUCUCUCUCUCUCUCUCUCUCCCAAACAUUUAUCUCAACAAACGUAAUGGUCUAUAAUUUGGUUCUACAAUAUUAUCUUGAAUGUAAUAAAUAAUGUGGUGUGUAUAACAUUUACUAGAUAGGUUGGCAAUAAAAACACUUUGUUCGUUACUCUUUCUAUCAAUUAUACUGUUUUGCCUUGUUACUUAAUUUCAAAUUAACUUCGCAUAUAAUAAAUAUGUAUACCAAAUAAGUAGACGUUCAUAAUGUAUAUUGCACUAUAAAAACUCAAUCUCCUACAACAUUCACUCAUCUCAAGGUAUUCUUUUUCUCUUGAGAAACAUUAUCAUCUAUCUUGGAAUUUCGAGCAUAGUGAUCAAGCAUGGCGCAACAGUUUACGGGGUACCAAAUGAUGUUGGUGAUAUUACUAUUCUUAUUUGGGGCCUGCAUUACACAAUCAAUGAGUGAUGAACAAGAUGAUGAGAACAGGAAAGAUCCGUGGGAAGGAUAUCAACUUCCUCCCCAACCAUGGAAGGGAUACGAUGUAUAUUUGCGAAGCUGCGUUCGUGUGCUAACCAAGAAAUGUGGGCUGGAAAUGUAUGAUUUCAUCUUCAGACGACGUCGAGGGAUGAGUAUGAGUUGUUGCUUGAAACUUGUUAAAAUCGGUGAAAUGUGCAGUACACAACUGUCGUACACACUCUCACAUAUUAAAGCGUUUGCACGAAAUAGAGGCAAUAUAUAUCUUCGAAGUGAGCAUGCCUAUAGAAAAUGUGCUAAGAGAGUAAUGGAAGGUGUGCCGAAGUCAUCGCCCAUGUUAUAGAUCUUUUACACAAAACCCAUAAAUGUUGACAUUCUAUGUGUUUCCAUGUCGGAUAUGAAUAAAUAAACUUUCUACAAAAAUACGAGUAAUUGUAAUUUUUUGUCUUUUCAAUGAAAAUGUAGUUAAAUAAUUUCUUAAUUUGUUUCUUCUUUUUUCUUUUUUGUGAUAUGGUUGAACAUAAAUAUGAUUUGAAAAAUCAACUACAUCAUUUACCCUCACAUCCAUGGAAGGGAUAGUAUUUUACCUAUAAACUUACUUGUUGAAUUUAAAUAAAUCGGUGAACUGUAGAGUUGUUAAUUAAAUGAUUAUUGAUACAUGUUGUUACAUUUUGAUGUUUGAUGAAUUUACUCAUCAUAUAUAUAUACACGAUAGGUGGCAAAGAACCCAUUAGUGUAGUGGUUUGGAGUGUGUGUGAGUUUAGUAUGCUAUCGUCUCUCUCCAUAAAAAAAGGUCAUAUAAAAGUAUGUAGGGAAAGACUAGAAUAUUGGAUAAAAGUAAGUAGGGAAAGAGAAAACUGUAAACCUUAAAACAUAAAAUAAUUAUUACAUACACAUAUACUAUAAUGUACUUCUAUACACAUAUAUACAUAUAUAUAUAUAUAUAUAUAAACACAUAUAUACAUAUAUAAAAUAUAAAUAAAUACAUAUAGAUAUAUACACGUAUAUUAUUAUUAUAAUAUACCUAUACACACAUAUACAUAUUAAUAUUAUAAUAAUAGCAUACAUGUGUAUAUAUAUAUAUUAUAUUAUAUAUUAUAAUACAUAUAUAUGCGUACAUAUACAUAUAUGUGUACAUAUAUUAUACCCAUGUAUGUAUUAUAAUAUACAUAUACACACGUAUACACAUGUAUAUACACCCGUAUACACAUGUAUAUACACAUAUACAUUAUAUAUUUAUACUAUAUGUAUAUAUAUUAUAAUAUACAUAUAUACACGUAUAUACAUGUAUAUUAUUAUUAUAACAUACUCAUAUAUAUAUACAUAUCUAUUAUAAUAUACAUACGUAUAUAUAUGUAUAUGUAUAUGUAUUAUACCCUUGUAUAUAUUAUAAUAUAUAGAUACACCUAUAUACACAUAUAUAUUAUAUACAUAUAUAUAUAUAUGUGUGUACAGAGAGCUUCCAUUGAGGGAUCCCUCAAAUAAGCUUAUUUGAGGGACACCCCUUGUAGGGCCCACUCCAGAUUGUAUUUCACUAAUCCAAACCGUCUACUUUGUAGAUACUCAUUCAAAGAUCAUCUCUACAAAAAAUCACUUGAAUCCGAUAUCAUUUGAUCAUUCAAUUGAGUUCUUGAAAUUUUAGUACUUUCUUGAAGCACCGUGUUCAUUGAUUUUGUAGGACACAAUUAGAUAUCGAAACGGUUUUCGAUUUGUCUAAUUUUUUGUAAGGAUGAUCUAUGAAUGAAGACCUAAAAAAUAGAUUGUUUGGAUCGUUGAAAAAAAAUUUAUAGGGUACCCUAAAGGGCGUCCCUCAAAUAAAAUUAUUUGAGGGAUCCCUUAAUAGAAGGGGGCUGUAUAUGUGUAUAUAUGUAUAUUAUAAUCUAUAUACAUAUAUUAUACAUAUAUAAAUAAUAUAUAUACAUGUAUUAUACAUGUAUAUACAUGUAUAUAUGUGUGUAUAUAUGUAUAUUAUAAUAUAAUAUAAUAUAUAUAUAAUAUAAACAUAUAUAUAUAUGUGUGUGUGUGUAUAGGUGUAUAUAUGUAUAUUAUAAUAUACCUAGGUAUAAUAUGUAAUAAUAUACAUAUAUACACGUAUAUACAUGUAUAUUAUUAUUAUUAUAACAUACCCAUAUAUAUUAUAUACAGUCCCGAUCUCUUGGACCACAGGAGUCCAAGAGAUUGUGGUCACCCACCGUUGGAUAUUAAUCCAAUGGUUGAAAAAAAAAUUUUAAAAUGAGUGCAAGAGUGAGUGAACCGUUGAAUUUGCAUCCAACGGUGAGUGACCACAAAUUUCUUGGACUCUUGUGGACCAAAUUUCUUGGACUCUUGUGGUCCAAGAGAUCAGGACUGAUAUUAUAUAUUACAAUAUACAUACAUCAGUCUUGAUCUCUUGGACUACGAGGGUCCAAGAGAUUUGUGGUCACUCACCAUUGGAUGUAAAUUCAACGGUUCACUCACUCUUAUACUCAUUUUAAAAAACUUUUUUGAACCAUUGGAUUAAUAUCCAACGGUGGGUGACCACAAUCUCUUGGACUCCUGUGGUCCAAGAGAUCGGGACUGAACAGAUAUAUAUUAACAGUCCUGAUCUCUUGGACUACAGGGGUCCAAGAGAUUUGUGGUCACUCACCGUUGGAUGUAAAUUCAAUGGUUCACUCACUCUUGCACUCCUUUUAAGAAUUUUUUUUUGAACAAUUCGAUUAAUAUCCAACGGUGGGUGGCUACAAACUUUUGGACUCCUGUGGUCCAAGAGAUUGGGAUUGUAUAUAUUAACAUAUGUAUAUAUAUUAUACCCAUGUAUAUUAUAACAUUACAGUCCCGAUCUCUUGGACCACAGGAGUCCAAGAGAUUGGAGCCACCUACCGUUGGAUUUUAAUCGAAUUGUUCCAAAAAAAAUUCUUAAAAGGAGUGCAAGAGUGAGUGAACCAUUGAAUUUACAUCCAACGGUGAGUGACCACAAAUCUCUUGGACUCCUGUAGUCCAAGAGAUCAGGACUGUUUACAUUACUCUGUUACAGCCCAGAUCUCGUGUACACAGGAGUCCAGAGAUCGUCGUACACCCAACCGAUGGCUAUUGAAUCAAUGGCUUCAAAAAAGUUUUUUAANNNNNNNNNNNNNNNNNNNNNNNNNNNNNNNNNNNNNNNNNNNNNNNNNNNNNNNNNNNNNNNNNNNNNNNNNNNNNNNNNNNNNNNNNNNNNNNNNNNNUUUUUUGACCAUUAGAUUAAUAUCUAACGGUGAGUGACCACAAUCUCUUGGACUCCUGUGAUCCAAGAGAUCAGAACUGUAUAAUAUACAUAUAUACACCUAUAUACACACAUAUAUAUUAUAUGUAUGUAUCUAUACAUAUGUAUUAUAUAUAUAUUAUAAAAUACAUAUAUACAUAUAUAUAUAUUUUUUUUUUAAAAGUAAAAAAAUCUAGCCCUAGUCCAAGAGUAUACUAAACGCAGGAUAAGUGUUAUGCAGAUUAGACCAAGCCAAGCCAAGCCAAGACAGUCCUUAAGCAUAGUCCAUGUUAAAACAGUCUUAUAUAACAAACGAGCCCUUAAAAUUUAAUAAAUAAGCGUAUGUGUGUCUCAUGAAUAUUCUCUAUGAGAAUUGCAUAAUGUAACAUACAGUCCUGAUCUCUUGGACCCCUGUAGUCCAAGAGAUUUAUGGUCACCCAUCGUUGGAUGUAAAUUCAACGGUUGACUUGAAUCGGGUAAUAAUCAUUUAUGUCAUAUUGCAUUUAUAUAUAUCAUUUUGAACCAUUGGACUCCUGUGGUCCAAGAAAUCGGGACUGGUGUAACAUAAUUCAUAAAUAACUUGGAACAUCACAUUAUUAUUUUCACAUCCUCUUCAAAGUGGUGAAAUCCUUAUGUUUUCCAAUUCCAUAUUUAGUAGAAUACGCUAUUAAUAUUUCUCUAUUAAAAUGCUAAAAAAAGGUCCAAAGUUGGAAUACCGUUGCCCUAUUUCUUUCUUAUUCACUUUAAUUCUUCAAUUCAUUUUUCCCAAAUUACCUAAAGAGUUCAAUUUUUAGUUUAGAUUUUUUUUUUUCUAUCAUCAUCAAAAUAGGAGAUUUGGGUCUCAAUCAAAUUCCUAAUGGACCCAAUCUUUAGUAUUUGGGUAAAGAAUAAAUUCCUUCCUAAUAAGAGUUUUAUUCUCUACAAAACCCUAGCCUCCGAGAUUCCUAUAAAUAGAUGGCUUUAUUCAUCAUUCAAGGUACUUCAAAAACCCAAGAAAAUAACCGAAACUCUCCAUCUCUCUCCCUAGACACCAGUGAUGCCACCGCCUCCGACCAUACGUGUCUCCUCUCUCCAUAUUUUACAUACACGGCUCCGGCCACCACAUACGGCCCCGGUCGCUCCGUUCACACCAUACAUACAUCUCCAUACUCUUUUUUUAGCUAUUGUUUCUCUUAGAUUCAAUCGAACUAACUAAAGUAUCGGGGGGUCCGGUGUGGUCUAUUUACUCCGGUCUUUUUUACAUGAAUUAAGGAAGACAGAGAAGGAAGAUCAACUUAAGCGAAUAUUCUUCCACAGGGAUUUUUGCACAAACAUUUUGUGCUUAUUGAGAGCACGAGUUAUAUUCAACGCAUGCUCUUGAAUCAAAGAAAUUUAUUUCCUCCAUCUUUUCAUUUAAUCAAAACCUUUCGAACAACCAUGGUUGGAAGCAAGAAAACGAGGGGCAAGACCGCUACAAUUGCCCAAUCCACUACGAGAUCGGACCACCAUGACGCCGUGGCUCUAAGACAAUCCCACUGUUUGGGCUUGAAUUCUGCACACCUAACCCAAAAGCUAUUGGCCCAUGAGUAACAAGUUCAGCUUGGACUUGAUAUUUAAAUUAUUUAGGCUCGAAUUCUGCACACCCAGCCUAGAAUCUGGUGGCCCACGGUAAUAAACAAUUUUGGGCUCUGAAAAUGAAGAAAACAGGAACCAUUCCAAAAUUGAAGAGGCCAGGCUAUUUUUAACGGCUGUCAUUAUUUACCCAGGUGUGAAAAUUCAAUUACCAUUAUGGGUAAUUCAAAUUAACACACCCAGCUCUGAAUUAAGAGAUGCCCAUCCUCAAUUUUGGAAAUUCCCUAAAACCCAAGAAAUUGAUCUCCACCGUCCAUCUCCAGACAAACAGACAAGGAAAGAGAAUUUCUGCUCCACUACCACAAAGCACACGGGAACCCAUUCAUAAAGCUGGAAAGGGUAGAAGAAUUCAAGGAAAAUAGGUAGGAAUGGGGGGAAAGUGAAGCCAAGGGGGAUUAAUCAUCAUGGCAAUUCGAAUUAACAGGCAGAAUUACCACCAAGGCCUGACAAUGCAAGCUGGGCGAGCAAUAGUUAAGGGAAUUUUACAGAAAUUUCCAGAUAUCAAGGGCAGAGCACUCUGGACUUUGCCUAUAAAUUCAGAAGAAUGAGAACUCAUUCAAGACAGACGAACAAAAUAAAAUAUUUUAAAAAACUCAAUCAAACAAAAAAACCCAUCAGUCUCACUGAUCAAUUCAAUGAUUUAACCAUCAUUCCAGCCUUUAGAAGAAGCAAAGCCAAUAUACCAAGGACCUUCAAAGCUAUCCUUGAGAUUCUACUCAGAAUUCAUUCAAUCUUCAGUCAAACUGACGAAAUCAAAUAUCAUUUGAUCUCAAAAGCCUUCGAAUCCAGAAGCAAUCAAGCUAUUUAGCUUAUAGGAAUCCUCCAGCUCUCAGCAAAACAGACAGAAGUCAAUCUUCUGUAGCCAGAAUCCAGCUCAAAGCAGAGUAUAGCUCAUGCAGACAGCUCGCAAACAAGAAAAACGAGACCUCACUCGUUACUAAUUUGGUUCAAGCCAAAACAAGCAUAACUCUGGUUUUUCAUAACAUGGAAAUGUCAACAAAUACACAGGGAUGUAUUGAGCACUCAGAACAGUCAGAACAGAUCUUGCUCGUCUCUUAAGUCAAGCAAACAGGUACCUUGGAGCAGUUCCAAGUCAGCAGCCAUCAAUCCAGGCACUCUCAAUCCAAUCCAGGCCUAAGGAAUAUCAAUUCUGCAUAUCUAGCAGGCCUUUCCAUGGCCAGAACAUAUUAAGCUCUACCAAUCUCGACAUUGGCAUCGAUCCCCAGUCAAAUCUCAUCAGUUGAAGAUACUGACAUGCAAUUCCAGUAUAGUCCAGCCCGGUUCUCCAGAACAGGCAGAAGUCAAAGUCCAAUGUUCUGUCUUUACAGAUUUGGCAGUUUUCAUUUGUUUUCAAUAUCGCUCAAUAGGCAAUUUUCAUUUCAAACAGUUUAAAUUACUUUCCAGCUCUUUAUUUUGGCCAGACCUACCAGUUUUGCUACUAUGAUAAAUUAUUAAAGUCCUCACCAGUUUGAGGCAAGAAAAGAACUUAUUUUGGGAAGAUAUUCAUCACCCAACUUCACAAUCACUUGAUUAAAGUUAGUAACUUGGGGCGCAAGUUAUCUAUUUUUAACAAGUCUAUUACGGUUUUAACUGCUAAUAGUGGCACGCUCGCGUAAAAGAAAGUUGACCUAUUGACCACAAAUGGUUUCCAGGCCAAUGAGAAUUUUGCCCUACCAUCACAGGAACACAACUAAAAUGGAUGAAAAAAUUUGGCAUGCCCAAUGGGAUUUCACAAUACACAUAUACCUAAAAGCCUCCCUUUUGGUAUAUGAAUAUUGAGAGUUCUAGCCAAAAUCCAUGCUUCGCUAUGGAUCAGCCGGCCAUCCGGUUGGAAAUACAUGAAUCAAAAGAAAGUGAUGGUAGACAGUUAGCUCACAGCAGUACCAGAAGCUGGUGUUCCAGCUCUAGUUCUUGGAAGAUAAGCCAGAUACAAGAGGCUGUACUCAGACAAGAGGCUGCAACACAAAGAAGCCAAGACACCCUGUAUAACAUGACUGCCAUGAUGAGAUGGAAAGUUAACAAGCAAUUCAGAAAGGAUUGUGAGACUGCUAUUGCAAGAAAUCCAAAUCUAAACCCUGUAGUCCAGCGGUUAGAUCUCCAUUUUGGGCCUCCACCAGAUUUUGUAUGGCCAUAUCAGGAAGACCUUUUAAUUGCAUAGAUGGCUGGAAUGCCAGAACACAAGAAAUACAGGUUGGAAAAAGAGGGGAAGCUUUCACAAUUCAGGAACAAGAGGUUCCAGUCCUUCCAGUGGGUCCAGUACCGGCCCAGGUCCCUCAAAACCAGCCAGAACUUCUUCCUCUAUGGCCAGAAGUUCCACACAACCAACCAGCUACACAUCUGCCUGAACAGCAGAUGAUAUUACUAUAUAGAGCCAGAAGGAUGGAUCCCAAUCCAUUUCCCCCACUUCCAAGGGGCAGAAGAGGCAGAGGAGGACCUAAUCCUUUGGCCGAUAAUGACAGGAACAUGUUGAGGGCAAACUGGAGAAAUCGUCUAGAUUUUGAGGAAGAGGAAGAGCGCAGUGAAGAAGAGAUGCCCAGAGUGCACAGAAUUGAGCAAAGGGCUAAACAGAUUCAGCCAGAACAGGGACGAAACAUGCCUACAUUGUUCAGAUGCAUUUACCCCCUAUUCCAAUGUACCUAACUUCACUUUGUUCAAUGGGGAAGAUAGUCAUGCAUCCUCUGUUGAACAUAGGCAGAUUUUCUGUCCAGUGCAUAGCUAUUGAGAAUAACCCACUCUUAAAACUCAUACUUUUUGGAAAUUCUCUGUCUGGUCAAGCCUUCACUUGGUACACCAUUCUGCCAGCCAAUUCCAUACAAACAUGGGAAUAGAUCGAAAAUGCUUUUCAUGACUAUUAUUUCAGAAUUCAGCCAGAAGUCACCAUCAGUGACCUGGUAGCUCUUAAACAGGCUGAGGAUGAACUUGUUCAAGAAUUCAUCACUAGAUUCAAGAAGCUCAAAAUGAAGUGCAGGAUUCCCAUACAAGAUAGACAUUUCAUCCAGAUGGCCCAAAUCGCCCUUAAAAUCUCUCUGAGGAAGAGAUUUGAUGGAAUUUUAUUUGCUAACUUGGCAAAACUGGCAGAUAAAGCCUCUAAGUAUGAAGAUCUACUCAAGGAAGAACAGCAGAGAAGAAAUUCUUCUAAGGGCACAUACUGCAAAAUGCCAUCUUCUUCAGUCCAUUUGGUUGAAGUAGAAUCGGAGGAAAGCCAAGAAAGUCCAGGAGAGGCAAAAGUGGCAAUGGCAGAAAUGACAAAGCUGAAACACCCCCAUCAGUUGUAAAGCUUUGGUCAAACCACCAAAAGAUCAUAAGCCACCUCCAUUUACAGGCGGGUUUGUCCCUAAUAAACCAACACAAAAUAAGGUCUAUUCCUUCAUUUGACCAAGGUUGAUGCCUUGUUUGAUGAGAUGUUCUUACAAAAGGCAAUAGAAACGCCUCACAAAUUGCAUAAACCAGAAGAACUCAAAGGCAGACAGUAUUGCAAAUGACACAAUUCCUGAAAUCACUCCACCAAUAGUUGUGUCGUUUUCAGGGACAUUGUACAGGAAGGAAAAACUGCAGGGAAGUUGAAGCUGGCUGAGAAGCCGCCUACUGUGACAACAGAUCCUUUUCCUCAGCCUUAGUAAACAUGGUCAACCUAAACUUGCCAGAACAGAAGAAGGGCAAACUAACAGUGGAAGUUAGCCCUAGCAUGGGAAGAAGAGUCAUAAAGGUGUUGAACUAAAUGCCAAAGGCUACUAUCUCAGCUGGGGUAGUUCUUUGCAGCAUAUGUAAGUGUGAAUGUGAGCUAGAAAUAGCUCUGGACAAGCAGAAUACACUUACUACAAGUGUUUUUGACAAAAUUGGAACCUCAUACCAGUAAACACCGGUUCCAGCUUUAUCCAGAAAUGCAGUCAGGUAGAAAUCUGAUAAGAAGUGUACCCAAUACAUCAAGAAGGUGGCAGAGCAACCAAAGAAGGAGGUACAAGUCAAGCUGUCUGAAAAUGACAAGCCCUUGACUAUCAUUAUAGAUUGCAACUGGUAUUCUGUAAGAAGAAAUGGCAGACCAACUUUGGAAUUAACCAUAACACAGAGAAGAAGAAUCCAGAGAUAGUAUUGCACUUUCCUAAAGAAUAGCAAGGACACGAAAGUGUUCCCAAAUAUCAAUUCUAUCAAGAUUAAGAAUGAUCCAGAAAAGACUGUUUAGGCAAAACAACUAGCACACCAACAGGACAGUUUAACCGAAUCGUCUUUCUACCAAGGUUCAUCUUCGCAGGAACAGUCCAGAACACCAUGUCCCCAAAGAUGAUAGGGAACAGACAUAUCCAAUAUAAGGGAGCAGGCAACUUCAAGUAACUGACAAUUCUUACGUUCAGACAUACCAUUCUGUUGAGGAGUGAAUGAAGUGGUAGUUUGGUGAAUGAUACCUUGAUCACGGAAGAACUAGGUCAAGGUACGAUUCACAUAUUCACCUUCGUUAUCAGUCCGAAAUACUUUAACACGGACAUGAAAUUGAGUAGACACCAUAGCACAAAAAUCGGGAAGAAUAGAGGCAACAUCAUGUUUAUGCUUCAUCAAAUAUACCCAUGUUAAGUGAGUGCAGUCAUCAAUGAACGUGACAAACCAACAGAAACUAUGAGAAUCACAUGGGCAGAGGCCCAUACAUUCAAAUGUACUGACUCAAAAGGCAAUGCAGCUUUAUUAUUACUCAAGGGAAAAACAAUAGGAUGGCUCUUGGCCAUUAUACAAGUCUCACAUUUGAAGCUAGACUCAUUACACGAACUAAAUAAUGAAGGAAACAAAUGUUUAAGAUAACCAAAUGAAAAAUGUCCUAAGUGACGAUGCCACAGCCAAAGUUGUUGUUUAUCUUUGACACUGCCACUCUGGACUUUAUUAGCAAUACAACCACGAACUGUUACAGCCGGUAACUAUAAGUAAUACAACCCCCCUAUCCGUUUACCAUGCCCAAUCUUCUCGUGAGUCUUGGGAUCCUGGAAAAAAUAAUAUGUAUAAUAGAAAGUAGCAAACGCGUUAAGUAUAUCAAGUAAACGCCAAACAUAUAACAAACUGCAACGAAUAUUUGGAACCAAUAGUGCAUGGGACAGAGGUAAAGAAUGAGUGAGGUGGAUGGUGCCUUCACCGGUAACUGGGGAAGGUAAACCAUUAGCACUAGUAAUAUAGGGGUCACGAGGGUUAUGAGACAACUCAUCAAACAUAUUAUCAUCAUAAGUCAUAUGAUCAGAAGCACCAGUGUCAAUUAUCCAAGUAUUAGAACUCAUACCUGACAUGGUAUUGGAAGCAUACAAAUUUGCAGAUGUGGCCGGAGGACUAGCCUCAUCUUGAGUCAUAGUGCAGGCGGCCUUAGGACCGUACAUACAAGCUUUGUAGUCAGCAAACCAAUUAGUAUAACCAUACUCCUUAAAACACUUCUCAGAGUAAUGAUUCCCAUUACAAUGACGACACUUAGGAGGACCGUCAAGAAAGCUAGGGGUAGAGCAAGAAGGAUGAGACCCAGCUGGAAAAAAAAAAUUCUAGAUAGGGAGCGACUGGUUGUGUCGUGCUAUGCGACCGGUCGUUGACGUGCUGGGUCAACUUUGAGGGCCAUUGAACCUCCUCCAAGCAUAGCGGACUGACCAUGGAGGAAGUUUCGAGAGGGGGUGGGACAUGACUAAAAGCAAGGAUAUGGCUACGGACACCAUCAUACGAUGGAUCAAGUCCUCCAAGAAAAUCAUAAACUCGAUUGGCUUCAAUUUCUUUCAGAAGACGAGCCCAUCAUUGGCACAACUAAACUCAUGUGGACAUAGACAAUCAAUCUCAUGCCAGAUAGCAUGGAGUUUUUCAUAGAACACUUUGACAGAUUCACCAUUCUGACAAGUAAGUAUGGACUGCCGUCAGACUUGAAACAAACGAGAACUAUUCUGAGUCACAGUAUAGGUCUUCCGGGCGGCCUCCCAUAUAGCAAAAGCAAUAGCAUCAUGUUCAAACAAGGCACGAACUGGCUUAGUCAUGGAAUUGAGAAGCCAUGACUACACCAGGCAAUUAUCUUCUUCAUAUUCGGCAUAGGCAGUGGAAUUUGAAGAUGGAGCAAGCUUCUUCCCAUUGAUUCAACUUGCCAUACGAUGGCUAGUAAUCGUAAUAUGCACACCACGAGACUAAGAGGCAUAAUUGGAGCCAUCCAAUUUGUCAGAAGUAAUCGAGGUAGAGUAAUCACGCGAGGGACGUUCCUCCUUUGUUGCAGACGCACUAGCACACACCACGACUUUGGAAUCAUCACCCAUGAUAGCUGCGGAAAAACACAAUACGAAGCAGAUACGACAAACACAGCACAGGCACGGGCACAAGAACCCUAAAAGAAAUUAGGGCACACAAUAGAACACGAGUGGGCACAACACACACAGGUCACCAGAAAGUCGGCUCUGAUGCCAAGUCAAAUAAUAUGGGUAGAAUAUUUUCAGAUGUAUUUCAUUCUCCGUAAGGAGGUAUUUAUAAUACAAGGUUACAAACCCUAGUAGGGUUAUACUAGGAAAUAAGAAAAGUCCUAAUUACAUAAUAUCUAUAUAAAAAAAAGGAAUAAAUAAAAUCAUAAUAGAAUAAGAAAGAAAUAUCCUAAUAUGACUCGCCAACAUCCAUUGCGAGUGAUUCCGAUUACAAAGGAUGCAUAUUUAACAUACACCUCAUUAUACACCCUCUCACUGUGGAUGCUCUUACAUCCUUUACAGGCGGGACCCAUAAGAGAAAAAGGGAAAGAGAAGGAUUGGAAUUCAAAAUGGAAGGUCCAGAUUUCAUGCAAUUUGAAUUGCACUUCUAAUGGUCUGAAAUAUUAGAAAAAAUACCUAAAAAUGUUUAAAAUAAAUUAUAAAUUUCUACAUAGAUUUUUUUAUGUUAAUUUGUAGGUAAAAUCAUAUGUUCUCCAAAUUUUUUUUAGGUCCAUUUAUUUGAAAAAAUAAAAUAAAUCUAACACAUACAAAAUUAAUUUUAAAAAGUUAAAACACACACACACACAUACACACAAAUGAAUUAUCACAAACAAAUUGAAUAUGCAUUUUUGGAUUUACAUCGUUUCUCAUUGGAGCAAAAAAACGUGUUUACACUCCCCGGAAGUAUAAAGGGGAUGUGAAAGUGGCUUUUACAACCCCGAAUUUAAUUUGUAGGUAAAAUCAUAUGUUCUCCAAAUUUAUUUUUUUUUAGGUCCAUUUAUUUGGAAAAAUAAAAUAAAUCUAACACAAAAAAUUAAUUUUAGAAAGUUAAAACACAAAAAAAAAAAAAAAACACACACACACACACACAAAAACAAAAAUGAAUUAUCAUAAACAAAUAGAAUAUGCAUUUUUAGAUUUACAUUAUUUCCCAUUUGAGCAAAAAACGUAUUUACACCCUCCGGGAAGUGUAAAGGGGAUGUGAAAGUGGCUUUUACAACCCCGAAAAUACAGCCCCCCCUCCUCUUUUUCCCCCAACUGUGGAUGCUCUCAGGGACAUGAGGACAGGGUAACCCAUCCUUGGAUAGCACACACACCAAAAGAGAGGGUAACCCAUCCUCGGAUAGCACGAACGACCCAUCUCUCAUUUCAUAACUUAGCUGUAUUUCAAAUAGAUUAAUUUGUUUUUUUAAGUUAAUAUUUUGUUUUGGGGGCGAUAGGCUUCAAGUUGCUACCAAUAUAAAGAAGAGGAAUUCCACUGCCAAUUUGGAACAUGUGCUCUACCACAAAAUGCUGAAUCUUCAAAAUGUCAAUUCCUUUUAAGUUUGUAUUGGUUGGUUGGAGGCAUCAUUUUGAUUGUGUUUGUUUGGUUGUUUUGGCAUCAUGCCAUGUUUUCUAGAAUUAAUUGAGCAUAAUUUACAAAGACAAAAAUGUACAAAGAAUGCUUUUGACAUUUCUAAAAUCAAAUGCUGCUUUGUUUCAAAUUUAUUAGGCAGAAUUGGUGGGUAUACUUAUGCUUGUCUCCAUCAUAUGACAUGACACAACUCUCAUGUAGUAGGGGAUGAAAAAACAUUUGCCACUAAUUUGGUAAAUGACUAGAUUUCUUUUCAUACAGGAAGGACGGGAAUUAUAAACCAACGGUAAUCGCAUGCUUCAUACAAGCAAUAUAUUUUCUUGAACUCAACAGACAAGAGAAUAGAGAUGAAGCAAAUGCUCUAGCUCCUAAGUGGUGGAUACCCUUUAAGUAUAAACUAUCCAAAACCUUAAUCGACGAAAGAGAUGGAUCCAUAUUUGGGGCAAUUUUGGAAUGGGAUCGAUCUGCAGCACUUGCUGACUUUGUACUCAUCAGACCAAGCGGUGCACCAAAGGCAGUUCUAGGAACAUUGCUCAAAGGCCCAACUAUGCGAAGGGAUAUUGAAGACGACCUUCGUUUUCUUGCUUGGGAGAGCUCAAAGGGUUCUGUUAGGUUCAAAGCAGCUAUGGAGGCUCUGAAAUCAGUUGCUGAAAGGUAUGGAAGCACUAAUGUAUGUAUUGCGGGACAUUCAUUGGGGGCUGGAUUUGCUCUCCAAGUGAGAAAAGCACAAUAGCGAAAGAAGGGAUGUAUGUGGAAACUCAUUUGUUCAAUCCGCCUUCUGCUUCACUAGCAAUGAUCAUUGGAGAGGGAGAGAGCAGGAUUUGCUUGGAAGAGAUUGAAGUCAAUGCUCCCUUUGAGAAGUGGAGCUCGGAUCAGCAGUGCAGAGGGAGAUAGGACUUCUGGUUUUGGAUUGAACAAUUGGAUGCCAAAUUUUUCGGGUUUGAAGAAUCCUUGAGAAAAUGGGUUCCUCAUUUUUAUGUAAAUAACAAUGACUACAUCUGCUGUUCUGAUACUAAGCAUGAUGGAGGUGAAGUAAACAAUGCUGACAAGGAGAAUGUGCGUCCAACAAAUGGUCAAGCAUCAGCAAAGCUGUUUGUGAUGUCAAAGGGAAACCAGAAGUUUUCGGAGGCUCACGGAUUAGAGCAAUGGUGGUCUGAUGAUUUGGAACUUCAACUGGCUAUGCAUAACAGCUCAUUAGCAGGCAGCUGAAAUCCUUGUAUAGCCUUCCAGCUCCACAACAAACACUUGCUAGAUAACAAAGGCCCUCUUGUUUUCUUUGUUUGUUAAAUAACUCGUUUUCGACUUGGGCCUUCCAUACUGUCAUGUUUUUAUACUUUGUCCAUCAGUUCAUAAUGGCUAUUCUAUUGCCUUUGCUCAUCGUUGUUUGUCACCUGUGUUUAUUGUCAUUUUCAUUUGUUCAAGUGCUCUAAAUUCUCCUAAGAUAUCUGAAAAAGCUUUACAAUUUUUCCUCCUACAGUACCUCAUCAAUGUGAAAUAAGCAUGAAUAGGGGUAGAAUAAAUCAUGUUGUGCUCUGCUUGGCAGGAUAUGACAAAGUCCUGCGCAUGCUGUGUUCAUCUUAAUAGUGUUCGGGCAUCAUAUUGAGCCUGUAUCGUCUUGUAUCAGAUACCGGCAGGAUAUAUCAUAUGUGACAUGAGCAUGAAUGAGUUGUAAAAUAAAUAAAUAAAAUAUAUUCAUGUUGUGCUCUGCUUGGCUGAGCUUGGCAGGAUAUAUCAUAUAUGCCAAAGUCACAACACAAUGUAAAUACUUCACAUCCACAACUUCAAGGAGAUUUGGAGAAAAUAAAAUAUAAAGAAAGAUAUAUAGGAGCUAGUUGUAUGAUAGGGAGUGCUUGCUUCAGUGUAAUAUUUACAAUCACAGGGGAUUUUGAAAGUGUGCGCUAAAAACUGAAUAAUCUCAAACUGAUGAGUUAAAGCAGCGAGCAUCAAUCAAUCAAGCAAAAUCAAGCCUAGACUUGCUGCUGUUGCAUUAAAUUUCUUACGUCUUUCAGACUAAUCCUUAGCGUUAGCUUGGGAAACACUGGAUUGUGUGGAGAGAUGGAUACUUUUUGCUGCGCAAUCUGGAAGGGCGAGAAUGUUGACUUGACCGUGGUAAGAGAUUUCAAUCUCAACCAAAUCCUCAAUACAGAUACCAAACGACAUUCCUUCAUCAAUUCUUAAGCCCACAACCCCUCCUGCGCCCUCUAUAAACUCGAAGCGAAUUCCUCGUACCUUAAUUAAAAAUAGCGGUAAGUAAAUUUUUAAAAAAAAAAUAGAUAUAAGUUUGGUAAUCCUCUCUCUGAAAUGGAUGCUGCAAUCUGAACAAAUAUCAAUUCAAGAUGAUGUAUGACCUGAUCAAGGAGAGGCCAGUCUAUGCCCCCGUACCAAAAAUCAUAUUUGGAACCGACAACUUCGAGGCGUCCAUCGUCUAUGAAAGAUGGGUUCGUGGGUGUCUGCAAUUAACUCAAUUUAGCACAGAAAUUUUUUAUAGAAAUUUUUUAGUAAUGGCUUUUGCUAUUUGUACAACAUUAUUACUUACCACCUCUUUAAUAUGGAUGGAUCCCCCAUAUAGUGGUGGAUCCUCUUCUAGGGAGAUGGUCAGCAAUGUGAUCUUCAAAUGAAGGGACAAUUUGGAUCACAUUUACUAAUUAUAUUGCUGACAACCUCUUUAAUACGAUAGGUCCCACAUACACUGAUGGUGUCACCUCUAUUACAGGGAUCCACAUCCACUUAUUUGAAAAAAAAUAUUUGUAAAGGAAAAUCAAAGCAAUCCCAACAGAAAAAAUAAAUAUAAAAGGUGAUCUAAUGAAUAAAUAUAGUAUAAAUAACAUUAAACCUGAUUUCAAAUGCCAAUCAUAGAAAUAUUAACCAAUGCAUGCAUAUCUGACGAAAACAAAAACACAUGUAGAGGAAGAAAAAUGAACCUCACUUUUCCAUCUUCCAUCGUAUUUUUUGUCACCCCACGAUUUCCACUUGGAUCAAAGAUAGGCAAGUUAAGAAAACAAAUUGAAUUGAUGUUGUACAUGUAUACCAAGGAGACAUAAAAUUAGGGUACGCGUAAGUCUGUGCGUGUGCAUGUGUGUGUGAAUGAUAAAUAAAUAAUUAUAUAUAUAUAUAUAAAGUAAUCAAAACAUAGCCAGUGAAGGGUAUAACUCAGGUGCUUUUGCUCUUUCAUUUCUACCCGUACGGGCAAAGUUCAAAAUUCUCAGGCACUCAAUGAAUACUUAUAAUAGAUAUUUAGUCAUAUAUACCAAUUCUGAGGACUAAUAAUAUAGAUAAACCCUACACUAUUUAAUUUCUAUAAAAUAAACCCAAAAAAUGACAGCUGGCUCUAUUGAAUUUAAUUUUGAUUAUUAAAUUACUUUGAUGCCCUAUUGAGUGUUUUGGGUUCUUUAAUGAGGUUUUGGGGUUGAGUUUGUGUUAGGAAAUGAAUGGCAAUUUUGUAAUUUAAAAGAAGUAAACCUUUUUGUUAUGUAAUGAGCUUUGGGUGUGUUUCUAAAGUCCAUUUUAUAUAAGAUUUUUUCUAUAAUUUGGGCUUCUAUAUUGGGUAUAAUAGUGAAUCUCUCUACUUAUAAAUCCCCUCCCUAAUAGCUUGUACUAAAAAAAAGUAAUCAAAAUUGAUGAUCAUAACUCUUCUUCCACUACUACAAAAAGUGAAAAAGACGACCAGAAAACAACGACGGUCUAAGUGAAAACCGUCGUGGUUUAUAAAAAGACGACGGUUCUAAAAACACCGUCGUGUAAUACAACCUUAGACAACUAAAAAAUGGAGUUUCAAAUGGCUGUUCAAAAACAACGACGUACAUAAUUAAACAACCGACGUCUAUUUGAAACAGAUUUCCUCAGUGUAAAAUCAAUGCCAACAAAGAACGGCAGAAGUUAUGAAUCGACCGACGUAGAAAGUAAAGACGACGAUUUCAAUAAAAACUGCCGUUUUUACUCAUAAAAUAAGACGACGAGGUUUUCGUAUAAGACGCCGUAUAAUUACAAACAAAUCCACGGCUUUAAAAUACAAAAUAUCGCCGUAUUAAAUUAAUUUACAACGACGGAAAAUAUAAAUAUAUCGACGUCAUUCUCGUAUAGUUCUACUACGUUAUCUUUAAAUCGUACAAUAAAAUUUAUCGUCGUAUUUAUUCAUUUUAUACGUCGUACCUUUAAUUUUAACGGUCGUCUUAAUAAGAAUUUUUGUUAACAAUUUUUUUCUUUGAUUUUCUUAUCCUACGUCGGUAGAUCUACUUAAUGACAAGAAUUGAAAUAACCACGACGGUUUAUAUAGAACACCGCCGACAUAAUCAGUUUUGUCUGAGAUCCCAAGGGUUACGAAAUCUUACCAGAUGGAACUCUGUUCCACAUCAUAAUCUUAACAGAUGACACAGAUUUGCAAAUAUUGCGUCGUGUUAGUUUACAAAUUCUAGAACAUUAAUUUCCCUCAUUUUAAAUUUCCUCGGGAAAGAAAAAUCUAUUUAUCACGCUUUGGAAUUGAAAACUAAAACUGAAAGAAUACGGGGAAAAAAACUCCAUUUAUAAUUUAAAAUUAAAAUCCACGUCGGUUGUAGUACACUUAACGACGUUUAACAAAAUAAUCUACGUCGGUAAUUAUAAAUCUACCGCCAUCGUAACUUAAUAUAGACGACGAGAAAAGACGACGGUAGAACAGAAAACCGCCGUUGUUUCAGUUUCUUUAACAUAUCUUUCUGCAGGACUUGUGUAGUUCAAAGCAUUGACAAUGUCUUCAUCAUAUCUCCCAGAAACUACUGAUUCAAUUGCUCAUGCUUUAGAGGCCAUCUGAAGCCAUUUCUAUUCUUUAUCGCAUUCUUGAAACCCAUCUUCUUCUUCUGAAGCUCUACGGAUAAAGGAAGAGGCUAUCACAAUAAAUCCGACGGAUCUUCUUAGGCAAGAAAAUCAAGCAGAGGAUCAGGCACAUCUGAUCUUCAGAUUUCCCUGAGAAGCGAACUUUCCUUCGACAGCGAGUGGAGGCCAGGCUUGCAUCUCUUUUGAUGGAAAGCAAGGAGUAUUCAGAAGCACUAAGUGUCCUAUCAGGCUUGAUCAAGGAAGUGAGAAGGCUAGUUGACAAGCUUCUUCUUGUGGACAUAUAUUUGAUGCGAGUAAGCUCAAUUUCUCUUUGAGAAAACAUCCAAAUUAUUAUCUUUGAGACAUGAGAGACUGAGAGAGGAAGAACUUGGAACCUUAAAUGUAAACCGAAAAUGAAUGAAAGCGACAAAUUUAUAGAAUAAAUUUUUAAAACCAACGGCGGUCCUUACAAACAAACCGCCGUUUAAAUUGUAAAAUCAACGUCGGUAUGAUCGACGUAUAUUACAGAAAUCCACGUCGGUAAAUUAAUAAAAACGACGUGUUAAAUAAUAUACCAUGACGCGAGUUAUUACUUAUGUACUUUAAUUUUUGAGUUUACUACGACGGUACCUACAAACUACUAUCGUAUUUAUUUACCACGUCCGAAGUUAAAUGUACCGUCGUAUUUUGUAAUUUAUACGUCGUAGUUAUAUGUAACCGCCAUAUUAUUUUUUUGAAAUGGUUUUAUAUGUAAGCAACUUUUCGUCUACUUGACUUACACAUUUGUUGUUUUUAUAUUCUUAUUUUAUUUAAAUCUGUCAUCCAAAAAAGAAACUUUACAUAUUGCAGAAUAUUAAUUUCCUUCGUUUUAAAUUUCCUCCGGAAAAAAAACUCUAUUUAUAACGCACUGUAAUUGAAAAAUAAACUGAAAGGUCACGGGAAAAAAAAUUCUAUUCAUAAUUUAAAAAUUAAAAUCCACGUCGGUUAUAUUAAACCUAACGACGUUAAAUGAAAUGAUUCCACGUCGAAUGAAAAAUAUUGCGUCGUUUUAGUUAAAAACGACGUAGUUAAAUGUAACCGCCGUAUUAUUUUUUUGAAAUGGUUUUAUAUGUAAGCAACUUUUCGACUUACACAUGCACUGUUUCCAAACCCGAUUAAAAAUUUCAAUCUCCCAGAGAAACCUUUUCGUCUUUUUUCCUUGUCAGAGCAUUGUCAGAGUUUCUCAUCGUCUUCCUCUCGUCUUCUUCGUCGUCUCUGAACUUAAACAUCGAUCAUCUUCCUCUUGCUUUCAUUGCACGCAAAAGGUAAGCUUUCAUUUUCACUAUUUUGGUUACUGUUUUGCAUGCUCAUACGUUUUUUGUUUGAAAAAUCUUUUUACCUUUUUUCUGGCCAAAAUCAUUUUACUUCUUUCCAAGUUUGAUAAAAUAUACAGACAAAGAGAGAAAGUUUCCAACUUUGAAGACAACUACAUCAACUAAAUAAGACGACGGUAGACCACGACGGUUCGUCAGUUGUUCUAGCGUCGUCUGAAAAUUGACAAAGUUGUUUUUAAAAUAAUAGUCUUUUUUUAUAUGCUUGUUUAAUUGCAGGUUUGAUUUCGCUGAACAAUGGUUUUUGUUUUUCCCUUAUUUGAUAAAAUAUAAAGAAAAAGAAACUAGGGUUGGUAUCUAAUAUAGACGAUAAAAUAUAAAUAAUAGUUUACCACGACGGUGUAUUACUAUUGACGUCGUGUGAACAUAUAUACCACGACGUUAUAUAAAUAAUGGUUUUAAACAUUUAUUACGUCUGAGAUUAUUUCAUUGCGUCGUCUAAAAUCAUAUCAUACGUCGUAUUUUUUUAAUACCGUCGUUUGUGUUCUUAAUGUUUUCCUGAAAUAUUUUCACUUGCAGUUUUGUCUGUUAAAAUGGUUUCUCAACAACAAACUAAGGAUUCUGGCUCCAAGAAGCUUGGAAUGGUAGCUCCUCAAGAUAAGUCUUCGAAGGAGAUGAAGUCUUCGAAGAAGAUGAAGUUUGCUUCAUCAUCUGCUGAGACAGAACAAACCAGCCAGACAACAAUCUCAGAUGAUUCAAAGACUGGUCGAGGUAUGAGCACAAUGCCUCGUGUUGUGAAGAGAAAGCUUCAGAAACUGAGGCCAAUUGUUGAGUACAAUAAAAGGGGGAAAGGUGUUGGCCAAGCACAUAUUGAGAUGCAGUCGUAUAUUGGUGUGUUGGCACGCUCCAGGAUCCCACUUGUGGACAAGAAAUGGUCCCAAAUCCCCAAGGAUAUAAAGGAGCAGAUUUGGGAAGCAGUUGACAUGGCUUUUGUCGUAGGCCAAGGGGGCAAGACCUCUGUUUUAGCUUCUGCUUCCAAGAAAUGGAAGGAUUUCAAGUCUACACUAACGAGGCAUUAUAUCCUUCCAUACACCAAUGACAGGGAGAAAUUAAGCCAACCCCCUGAAACAUAUAAAUUCAUAGAGAAAUCACAAUGGGAUGCCUUUGUAGCUUCAAGGCUAUCCAAAGAUUUUGAGUCUGUGCAUUCUCAACAUGCACAGAUUAGGGAGAAACUCGAGUACAAUCAUCGAUUGUCUCGAAAAGGAUAUGCUGGAUUGGAGGAUCAAUUGGAGGAAACCAUGCCUGGGGUAGAAAUUGAUCGAUCUACCUUAUGGAAGAGAGCUAGACAGGACAAACAUGGUAACAUCCCUGAUCCAAAGGUGGCAGAGAAAGCAAAAUUAAUUGUAAGCCUACUAUCACUCUGUUUUAAAUUUUUAUUAAACUGUGAAUUAUUCUUAUUACGUCGUAUGUUAUAUUUUUCGUCGUGUGAAUGAUAUUACCACGUCGAAAAGUUUUUAAAAACGUCGUUAAAGGUCUAAAUAGGAAUCACUACUAUGUUUUCUGUAAUUACAGCAUAAGACGUCGGUGGUUCAUUUUCGCGUCGUGUGAAUGAUAUUACCACGUCGAAAAUUUUUUAAAAACGUCGUUAACGGUCUAAAUAGGAAUCACUACUCUGUUAUCUUUAAUUAUAGCAUAAGACGUCGGUUGUUUAUUCAUUUCGUCGUUUUAAAUAAAUAACCACGUCGGUAUAACUACCGUCGUGAUAAGUUAUAAUAACGUCGGUUUAUACGUUAUUGCGUCGUGUGAAAUUAUAUAAUACGUCGUUUGUACAUAAAUAACCGUCGUGUGUUUUUUUGUUUAUCUUUUUUUAGGAUGAAUUGCAGAAACAAGUCUCGGAAGGCAAAGUCAGAGUAGAUGGCAGCAAUGAUGUGCUGACCAUGGCUUUGGGCCCCGAGCAUCCAGGCAGACUGAGGGGAGUUGGUGCUGGUGUUUCCCCAAGGCAAUAUUUCAAUUUGCCCAAACCACAGAGGGUGAGCUUUGACGACCGUUUGAAGGACAGUUUAAGAGUUCUCCUUCAAGAAGAGACUAAAAAGAUGGAGGCUAAGGCAAGGGAAGAGGCCUUAAGGAUGGAGGCUAGGACAAAACAAUUGGUAGAGGCUGAGAGGGAGCAUUUCCUGAGUCAGCUUUCCCAAUUAAUUCCCAAUUUUGAUCCAAGCAUGCUUAAACCAAGAAUUAGCCAAAGCCCCAAAAAUCCAAUGUCUGACAAAGCUAGCUGCUCUGGAGGUGAUGUGAGAUCCCUACAUUUGGAGGAUGAUACUGCCAAAAUGGGGAAACAUCAGCCAGAUGAAGAGAAGGAAGAAGAAAAAAGAGAUGAAGAGAAGGAAGAAGAAAAGGAGAAAGAAGAUGAAGAAAAGCAUGACGACAAGGUAUGUUCACAUAACUUUGCCUUUUUUAUUUGUUUUUCAAAAUUUCAGACGUCGAUAUUUUUAUUUAAUCCGUCGUUUGUUUAAAACUUAGACGGCGGAAUUUUUUUAAGACGUAAUAAAAUAUUUAAACGACGGUUUUUGCACCGUCGUUUAAAUGGUUUCAGACGACGCUUUAUUCAUAAAACCGUCGUCUUUAUUGAAUUACCACGACAGUUUUUUCACCGUCGUUUAAAUACUUUUAAGACGACGUUUUAUUACUUAAACCGUCGUCUUUAUUGAAUUACCACGUCAUUUUUUUUAUUUCUUUAAACAGGUUAUUGAAGUUGGUGCUUAUUCAAAUAUGGAGGCGCCAUCUUCUUUAAAAACCCUUUGUCGUUUUGUGGAAACGACACUCCUGCCUGAGGAUAAGACACUCCAAUUUACAAUUGAUAAGGAGGUGUUUGGUGGUGAGCGCGAUACCUUCCUCCUGCCUGAAGAUAUUACACAAUUUGCAGGCAUGGAAGAAAUUGGAGCUACUGUAUUGGCUGUAUAUAUGAGGUUUGUACUUCUAAAAUAAUACCUCGUUGGUUUAUAUAUUGCGUCGUCUUAACUAACUAACCACGUCGUCUUAACUAACUACCGUCGUGAUAAAUAUAUUAUAACGUCCUCAUCUAUUUCAGUACGUCGUGUGAAAUAUUAUAAUACGUCGUUUUUUUAUACAUAACCGUCGUGUUUGUUUGUGCUGACUUGUUUAUAUUAUUUUAUGUAUUUAGGUACUUACACGAUGUUUUGAAACAAGCCAAUAUGUGCAGCAUGGUUGGCUUUAUUGACCCUGCUACAAUUAGUGCCAACUCUGGCACAAUAACUGAAAGAUCACGACUGGUAGCAGCUCGACUUCAGAAGACAGACGGUGAACAGCUUUUCAUGAUGCCUUACAAUCCAGGGUUAGUCUCCUUAGGAUUUUGUUUUUAUGAUUUUCAAUAAAUGACAGCUUAUAAACUAACCACGUCGGUGUUUUAUUUUAUUUAGUCGUUUGAAACUACUAACCACGUCGGUAUUUAUUUGUCGUCGUGAUAAAUAUAUAAUGUCGUCGUUAUCUACUUUAUUUCGUCGUGUGAAAUACUAUAAUACGUCGUUUUUGUAAAUAACCGUCGUUUUUAUAUUAAUUUUGUGCAGCCGUCAUUGGAUCCUGCUGAUUGUAAGAGCAAAGAAGGAGACCGUCUAUUUUCUGGAUCCUCUGCCAGGUCAUCGUGUGGUCGACGAAGAGGCGAAAAACAUCGUGAACAGUGCUUUAAAAAUAUAUAAUACCCACAUAGGCCGAGCAGGACGUAAAAAUGUAAUUUGGAAAACUCUCUCAGGCACACCAAAGCAACCCAGCAAUGUCGAAUGCGGGUAUUAUGUGAUGCGCUUCAUGAGGGACAUCAUCAUGGAUCCUUCCUUGGGGUUUGAGAAUAAGGUAAGAAGAAAUUACCUUCAUACAUUUCACGUCGUUUUUUGUAUUAUCAACGACGGUCAUGUAAAAUUAACGUCGUUGAAUGGAUAUACUACGUCGGUUAUGAAAAAUAUCGUCGUCUGUGAUUGAAUUUCUUUUUAUUUAUAAACCCUAAUAGUCAUUGUUUAUGCAGUAUGCCAAGGGAAACCAGGAAGCUUCAUACCCCCAAGAAGCCAUUGAUGAAGUCCGGAAUGAAUGGGCAGAGUUUGUUUUCCAAAUUAUUAAACAGGGCAAUUAUUGAACACUUGAUAUUUAUGUAUAAUGUACAAAUUUUCUCUAUAAUAUGUAAUGUAAAAAUUUGUUGAGGUUUUCUUAAAUUAAAAAAAAAACAAACAUACAAAUUGCUUAACCGACGUGUAAUACUUUUCCAACGACCUAAUAAAGUCACAAACCGUCGUAUUUUGUUGUUUCGUGUUUUAAACAAUUACGACGUAAAAAUAUAGUUAGACGACGUUCUUUGAACAAUUGAGUCGUUUAUGGUUUACAACAUCUUCAAUUUCUUAAGGGUUCAGGGUAUCAUCGACGACGUUUAUGUAACGACAGCGGUUAAGUCGUUGAUAUAUAUAUUUUACGUCGUAUAGUUAAAUAGCCGCCAUGGUUUCUCAUUUUAACGACGUCAUUUUAACGACUUAGUAGUCUAUUACAAUUUACAACGUCUACAAUUUAUUAACACCGACGUGGUUUGUUGUUGUGGUAAGAAUAUUUUAUUAUUUUUAUAUCAAAAUAUUCAAAAUAAAUUUAAAAUAAAUCAGAAAAUUGAAAAGUCAACUCCUAUGAAGUCAUUGAUAUAUUUUCUUCCACAUAAACCUUGAAAAAAUUCAUUUUGAAUAACAAAAAUUUAAAAUGACCAUCCAAAACAAAAUUGUUUUGAUGAGUCAUAAAAUCACUUCUAGUUUUAUGGUUUAGGGUUUAGAGUCUAGGGUUUAGAGAUUAGGGUUGUUAUUUAUUGGGGUUUAUUUUUAAAGUAUAAUUUUUGGGUAGUCUAGGGUAUAUGUUAGGCUUUAAAACCAUAAAACCUUUUAUAAACUUAAUUUUUUAAAUUGUAUAAUUUAAUUUUAUGGGUUUAGGGUAUUAAUUUUUAACGACGGUGGUUGGGUCGUGGAAUACAUAUUUUACGUCGUACAGUAAAACAUACGACAUGGUUUACGCUUUAAACGACGUCAUUUUAAUAUGUAAGUCGGUUUAUAUAAUUUACAACGUUUUUAAUUUCUUAACACCGACGUGGUUUCUCAUUUUAACGACGUCAUUUUAACGACUUAGUAGUCUAUUACAAUUUACAACGUCUACAAUUUAUUUAACACCGACGUGGUUUGUUGUAUGGUAAGAAUAUUUUAUUAUUUUUAUAUCAAAAUAUUCAAAAUAAAUAUAAAAUAAAUCAGAUAAUUGAAAAGUCAACUCCUAUGAAGUCAUUGAUAUAUUUUCUUCCACAUAAACCUUGAAAAAAUUCAUUUUGAAUAACAAAAAUUUAAAAUGACCAUCCAAAACAAAAUUGUUUUGAUGAGUCAUAAAAUCACUUCUAGUUUUAUGGUUUAGGGUUUAGAGUCUAGGGUUUAGAGAUUAGGGUUGUUAUUUAUUGGGGUUUAUUUUUAAAGUAUAAUUUUUGGGUAGUCUAGGGUAUAUGUUAGGCUUUAAAACCAUAAAACCUUUUAUAAACUUAAUUUUUUAAAUUGUAUAAUUUAAUUUUAUGGGUUUAGGGUAUUAAUUUUUAACGACGGUGGUUGGGUCGUGGAAUACAUAUUUUACGUCGUACAGUAAAACAUACGACAUGGUUUACGCUUUAAACGACGUCAUUUUAAUAUGUAAGUCGGUUUAUAUAAUUUACAACGUUUUUAAUUUCUUAACACCGACGUGGUUUCUCAUUUUAACGACGUCAUUUUAACGACUUAGUAGUCUAUUACAAUUUACAACGUCUACAAUUUAUUUAACACCGACGUGGUUUGUUGUAUGGUAAGAAUAUUUUAUUAUUUUUAUAUCAAAAUAUUCAAAAUAAAUAUAAAAUAAAUCAGAAAAUUGAAAAGUCAACUCCUAUGAAGUCAUUGAUAUAUUUUCUUCCACAUAAACCUUGAAAAAAUUCAUUUUGAAUAACAAAAAUUUAAAAUGACCAUCCAAAACAAAAUUGUUUUGAUGAGUCAUAAAAUCACUUCUAGUUUUAUGGUUUAGGGUUUAGAGUCUAGGGUUUAGAGAUUAGGGUUGUUAUUUAUUGGGGUUUAUUUUUAAAGUAUAAUUUUUGGGUAGUCUAGGGUAUAUGUAGGCUUUAAAACCAUAAAACCUUUUAUAAACUUAAUUUUUAAAUUGUAUAAUUUAAUUUUAUGGGUUUAGGGUAUUAAUUUUUAACGACGGUGGUUGGGUCGUGGAAUACAUAUUUUACGUCGUACAGUAAAACAUACGACAUGGUUUACGCUUUAAACGACGUCAUUUUAAUAUGUAAGUCGGUUUAUAUAAUUUACAACGUUUUUAAUUUCUUAACACCGACGUGGUUUCUCAUUUUAACGACGUCAUUUUAACGACUUAGUAGUCUAUUACAAUUUACAACGUCUACAAUUUAUUUAACACCGACGUGGUUUGUUGUAUGGUAAGAAUAUUUUAUUAUUUUUAUAUCAAAAUAUUCAAAAUAAAUAUAAAAUAAAUCAGAAAAUUGAAAAGUCAACUCCUAUGAAGUCAUUGAUAUAUUUUCUUCCACAUAAACCUUGAAAAAAUUCAUUUUGAAUAACAAAAAUUUAAAAUGACCAUCCAAAACAAAAUUGUUUUGAUGAGUCAUAAAAUCACUUCUAGUUUAAUGGUUUAGGGUUUAGAGUCUAGGGUUUAGAGAUUAGUGUUGUUAUUUAUUGGGGUUUAUUUUUAAAGUAUAAUUUUUGGGUAGUCUAUGUUAUAUGUUAGGCUUUAAAACCAUAAAACCUUUUAUAAACUUAAUUUUUUAAAUUGUAUAAUUUAAUUUUAUGGGUUUAGUGUAUUAAUUUUUAACGACGGUGGUUGGGUCGUGGAAUACAUAUUUUACGUCGUACAGUAAAACAUACGACAUGGUUUACGCUUUAAACGACGUUAUUUUAAUAUGUAAGUCGGUUUAUAUAAUUUACAACGUCUUUAAUUUCUUAACACCGACGUGGUUUUUCAGUCGUCGUUAUAUAAAAAAUUCAAAAUAAAUUUAAAAUUAAUCCGAAAAAUGAACGGCCUUACGUUCUUAAUCCGAAAAAUGAAGUUUCCGUCGUGGAAUAUUAAAUUUACGUCGGUACUUGUAGAACUUUCGCCUUGGUUUUUCUUUCGACGUUUUAUAACGCGCGCGCUCUAAAAAUUUUCGCGCGACCUAAAUUUUUUUAGAUUUGGCUCUUAGUCUUAUACUUUGAUCCCUGAAACCUAAAAUUUCAGAUUUCACGCGACAUAACAUUUCGCUCUCUCACUUCUGCUCUAAUUAAAAGUUGCACUCUCCAGGCUCGUCGAAUCUGUGAGCUCGUCCAACCUGUAAGUACAAACCCUAUCUUCCCCUUGUAAAUUCAUUGAAUGAUAUUAGGUUGUUUUGUUAAAGGGUUUUAGGUAUAUGCUUUGCGAUCUGUUAAUAAUGUGCUUAUAGGUAUGGGUUCAUGGAUUUUCUGUUUAAUGGGUUCAUGACAAGAUCAAAUAAAGGUGUACUUUUGCUGGAAAUCAACACAAAAAGACACAUCACCAACUUCCAAAUGAUUUCCAGCAAAAGGACACCUUUAUUUGAUCUUGUCAUUUUCCGCUCUGGAGAAGGUGCAAAGUGCACCAAUGCUUAUAGGUAUGGGUUCAUGGAUUUUCUGUUUAAUGGGUUCAUGGAUUACAUUAUCUGUUAUGUUGAAUUGGGAAUGGAUUUAAUUUUGUCGUAUCUUUUAAUCACCCUAUGUUAUGUUGAAUUGGGAAUGGAUUUAUUGUUUUCAUGCUUGGUUUCAUGUAUAUGUUGGUCUCUUGCUUGGUUUCAUAUAUACGUUGUGUCUCUAAUGGGUUUUGUGUUCUGAAAAUAAACUGAGACACGACGAAUUUUAAGGCGUACGACGACGAUUACACGACGGUGUUUUUAAACUACCGUCGUUGUAUUACUUAUACACGACGGUUUUUUCAUAAACCGUCGUUUGUAUUACGUAUAAUAGACGACGUCUGUUGAAAAUCCGUCGUCUAUAUAUGCCAAAUACGUCUGUUUUUGAUUAAAACCCGUCGUCUCUGUUGUUUAUUACUUGCGAUUAGAUCAUUGUAUAAUCUGCUAUAGUGAUGGUCAUUGCCUGUAUUUUCACUUUAUUAUAGAUAAUAGGUUAUAGUGUCGGAGAUGGAUAAGUCAUGGAUGCACUCGGAUAGAAGAUCGAAGGCAUAUGAGUUUGGGGUGGAAGCAUUUUUGGACUUUGCUGUAGAAAAUCUUCUAACUACAACACAUAUCCGUUGUCCAUGUGUUAAAUGUGUUAAUUUGAAGUUGUUUGGGGUUGGAAUUAUAAGGGAUCACUUAUACUUUAAUGGAAUUGACCAAAGCUAUAAGAAUUGGACAUUUCACGGAGAACCUUGGGAAGCAACUACUAAUGCUAGCAGAAAUGUUGAAGAAGAUGAUGGCCAUAGUAGGUACAGUUUUGUGUCUGAAGAAAUUGAUAUGGAUGAUAAUGAUUUUGGUGAUUUUGGUUCGGAUCCGUAUGAGUUUGCCAAUGUGAUUGGGGAUGGAGAUCAACCAGUGUACCCUGGUUGUAGAAAGUACACGAAGUUAUCGGCAUUAGUGAAGUUGUAUAAUUUGAAGGCAAAACAUGGGAUGAGUGAUGUCUGUUUUACAGAAUUAUUGAUACUUCAAGGCGAUUUGCUUCCAGAAGGAAAUACAAUACCAACCUCCAUAUAUGAGUUUUAUUCUUUAAGUUUCCAUUUAAAAUUAUUUCUUAUGUUUAUCUUAUAUAUUUGGGACCGUAAUGCUUGAAUUUUUCGUGUCAUGUAGGCAACAUAUGAUCCACAUCAAGACUGCUUAUCCAAAAUUUAGAAAGAGAACAAAGUGGCUGCAGGAUAAGCACAAUAGCACUUUCAUUCAAUGGCUACGCUUCAAGGUAUAUGUUGUUGAAUAACGUAUUUCUCUUUUAAUUUUCUUCUUAUUUAUAUGUUAGGAUGAAUUAAGAUAUGAUUAAUUUGCAGGUUCAAAGUGAAGUUGAGGAAGACAAUCAUGGCGUAUCAGAAAAUUUAAGGUGGCUAGCAGCUGGUCCAAACAUGUCAGUGCCAUUAUAUAGGAGCUAUCUUAUUAAAGGUAUUAAAUUCAAUAUCAAGGCACAAGAUGAUGUGCGGACAACUCAAAAUAGUGGAGUUUAUUUACUUGCACAUACCAUGCAAGUUGCUAGUGCCAAGGAUAAAAACCCAAUUCUCUCAAAUAUGGGUUUCUAUGGUGUCAUUCAAGAAAUUUGGGACCUUGACUACCAAAAGUUUACAAUCCCAGUCUUUAGGUGUGAUUGGAUAGAUAGUUCUGGUCUUGUAGUCGACGAACUUGGAUUUACCCUUGUAGAUUUGAGUAAAAUUGGACAUAGGAAUGACCAAUUUGUUUUGGCUUCUCAAGUCAAACAAAUAUUUUUUGUUGACGACCCGAUGCAUCGUGGUUGGUCGGUAGUGUUAUCAAUGCCUAGUAGAGAAUAUAAUGAUGUUAUUGGUGAUGAAGUAUUAGGUGAUGUGAUAAUUGAGUGUGAGCCAUUUACUAGAGGGAUGCAAAAUGUUGACACAUUUGAUGAACUGGUAGGUGAGUUAGGCGGUCAAAAUAUUCGAGAUGGGUGUGAAGAUAUAUGGAUUGAAUGAUGCUUAUGUAAUUGGCAGUGUAUGACAUUAAUUUUGUAAUAUAUUGUAAUGUGAUUUCUUCACUUUCUACGUUCAAAUAAAACACGACGUUAUUGUGAAUCAGUUAUUCAGCAUAUUUACCGACGUCUUAAAGCAACGUAACAAUGAAGAACCACGACGCUAUUGUGAAGCAAUUAUUCAGGAUAUCACGUCGGUGAAGGAUAAAGAACCGCCAUGUAAUUCAAAAUAACACGACUCUAAUCCCAUAAUACCGACGUCUAAAAAACGAGAUAUGUAAUCUGAACGUUAAAAAAUACGACGUCAUCAUACAUUUUCCACGUCGCAAGUUCUUUUAUAAACGAAGAGGAACGAAAUUAAUUCCGACGGAAAUUCAUUAUAACCGCCUUCUAAUAACAAUUAAACGACGUUAUUUGUAAUACGGCUCCCAUCAUAAUCUACGCCGUCUAUAUGUUCUGUAAUACGGCUCUCAUUUAUUUGGAACCGACGUUGUUUAGACGUUCAACGUCGUCUAUAUUAUUAAGUGCGUCGUGAGUAAUGAAUACAUAUAAAUACAACGUCGACUAUAUAAAUGUAUACGUCGUAAAUAAUGACACUGACAACUAUUUCCACGUCAUCUUUUUUAGAUAAAAUCGAAGUGGAAAAUUUAUUUCACGACGGUUUUUUGUAAAUAAGAGACGUUGUAGAACUUUAGCAGACUAAACACGUCUGUUUUUAUUGUUUUCCGACGUUGUUGUAUUUAACAACGUCUAAUAUUUAUGGUCGUUGUUUGUUUCUGAAAAUAGGACGUAUAAAUUUUUUAAUACGACUCUCAUAUAUUUGUAACUGACGUUGUUUAGUUUUUCAACGUCUACUAUAGAAACACAUACGUCGUAAAUAAUGACACUGACAACUAUUUCCACGUCAUCUUUUAUCAAAAAAUCGAAGUGGAAAAUUAAUUGUACGACGGUUGUGUUUAUAUGUGCGACGUAGUAGGUCAAUAACGUCGUCUUCUAAUGUAUUUAAAGACGUCAUAUUUUUUAUUGUCGUGAAAAUUAUAUUUAACGUCGGCGUAUUUUUAUUGUCGUCGUUGUAUGUCUAUCUUGCGGCCUUGUUCUCUUAAUAUGUGUCAUAUUUUCCCUUUUUAACGACGGUCUUUUUAGAGAAUUGGUCAUCUAUUAUCAUCAUCGAUUGCUUUUUUUAGAUCUUUUUGCAGUACAAAGACGUCGUUUUGUAUUUUUUGAUGACGUUGUAUUGUUUAACAACGACGGUUAUUUAGCGUCGUGGUUUAUGAGGGAAAAGAUGACGGUGGAUUCCACGACCAUUGAAAAACCAAAUACACGACGGUGAUUUACCGUCGUCUUUUUGCUUUUUUGUAGUAGUGUUCUUUUUUUCUGCUAGAAAUAUGAAAAACAUCAAUGUCACUUGUACAAAGGAGGAAAAAAAGAAGUUUAACUUGCAUACUAGUGGAGGUCUUAGGUUCAAAUUUUUAUGGCACCUUCACAUUAUCGCUUUGCUUAUAUAAAAAAACAAAAACAAAAAAUCAGAAAUUAUGACUUGAUAACAACGUAACUUCCCCAUGUACAGAGAGGAUUGCCCCUUCGGUGCAUUUGACACUGACAGAAUCAAGUUUUUAUGAAAAAUUAGUUAUCAAACUUGGGUUAAAGAGAGAAAAAAUUACGGAAAGAUGUGCCAAAAUGAAAGUGCCAUUUUUUUUUUUUCCUUUCCAUUUAAUCAUACAACAAAUAGUGAGAUGUGAGAGUGAGUGCAAGCAAGGUUUUCAUCAAACAUUUUAAAGAAAUAAAAGCACACAACAGAAAAAUGAUACCAUCUAUGAGGGAGAGAGCAAUAAAAGAAGUUGAGUUCGAUGAUCAUUACGUACUUUACAGGAAGGUGAUUGUAAAUUUCCCAAUGACCAAGAUGAUUCAAAACCUUUAUGAUUGGUCUGUCGCUGUUAGGGAAAACAAAAGUAUAAAAUACUAAAAGAAGAAUAUGUAAUUGGCUUAUUUUCAUAAAUGUUGUUUACGAAAUUAUCACAUUUGAUACUUUACGAAAUUAUCCUGCAUAAAAUUAGUCCCUAUUGUGAGAUUCUGUAAAAAAAAUCUGUUAAAUUGAUGAUAUGGCAUGUAUUUGGAGUCCAUGUCUCCAAUAAUAGCAUGCCAUGUGGAUCUAAACCAAAAAAUUGUUUUGAAAAUGUUUAACUUCUCUCUCUCUCUCUCUCUCUCAGAUUUUUCAUGAAAUCUUUUAUAUAGAGGAUUUUUAUUUAUUUAUAAAAACGAUAUUCUACUUUAAUUUAAUCUAAACUAUAUGGAAGGGACUCGAACUCAAGUGCAUAGUGGGAAGCACAUCCACUAUAACAAACUUGGCUAAGCCCAUAUAUGCAAUCUUAAUUCACUGUAAUGGAAACAAAUAUGUACAAUCAAAAUCUCCACAUUGCAAGUUCUCUCUCUUUUUCCUUCUCUCCCUUUCUCUCCCUUUCUCCCCCCACCCCGAUCAUCCCCACAACCAUCGACAGACCCCGCACGACCCAACCUCAACAGAACCAAAAGCAACCACCCUGGCCACCAUGUUCCCCAACUCAGCCACACCCCAUAACCCACACCAUCCCCCGGCCCCACCCCACCCCACCCCAGACCCACAACCUAGGCCCUGCACCCAAAUACCUAUAUUUUUUUUUUCUUACUUUUUCAUUUUUUUUCCUAAUCCUUUCAAUUUUAAAUUUUUAAAACACAUAUAUAUUAUUUAAUUUCCACAUUAUUAUUGGACAUUUGGGUUCCACAUCAUCAGUUCAACAGAAUACUUGACAAAAUCUCACGGUAUGAAUCAAUUUAAUAAACCCAGGGUAACUUUAAGGACUAACUUUGUCACAAAAAACUUAAAGACCAAAGAUGAUAAUUUCGUGAACCACAAAAGCCCUUUGUGAAAAUAAGCCUAUAUAAUUUAAUAUCAAAUUACAAGGAUUGGAUACCAAUAAUUUGUAAUUUCAUAUGCAUACAGGGUUAUUUAUAACAACAUGAUGAAUAAUUUAGCUUGGAUGGAAGCAUGAAGCUCUGCCAAUAAAUACCUCAUAGAAUCAGUAAGGCCUUAAAUGUCGGUCAUUCCGGAAAUAUUAGCAGUCCCCAAAUGUAGAAAUUCCGACGAAAAAUAUGAAUAAAAAACAAUAGAAAUUGUUAGAAAAUUAAGAAAGCUUUGAAUGAAACUUUGAGUCAUGUUUAUAAAACUAAAUGUAAGUGAGAUGCAAUUUGAGCCAUCCAAAGUUCUAAGAUCCAACGUUCUAUAGUGUGUGUCGAAAAGUGUUACAAAAUGUGUCCCUCCGAUCCUAACUCAUUAAUUAAUGCAUAAAAAAUAUGGAAAUGAAAUGAUAACAGGAGUAUAAAAAAAAUUCGAAUGAAUUUGGGCACAUAACGAAGAAAAGAAAUUAAAGUAUAAACAAGGAUGAAAUUCUUUACCUCUCAAGAUGAAGUAGUAACAAAAUCGUCCGUAAAAUGUUGGAUUAUCCUAAGAAAUAUAUAAGAAUUGAGGAAUUAAUAUUAUCUUAAGAUAUAUCAUUCGUUUGAUAAUAUAUAAUAUAUAUCAUAAAAGUCAAGUGAUAGGUCCAUUGAGAAUGGAGAUUGGAGAUUAUGAAAGAAAGAAAAAAAAAAAAAUUAAGGAGCAAGUCUUACUGCUUUUUCCACAUCUCCAACCUCAUGCAAACAAUGUGGUAAUGGGUCCAUACAAAAAGCAUAAGGUUUUCCUGUAGAAGACUGAGUGCGUUUCAUCCUAAUGAGACAAUGCCAGCUGAAAAUCCAAUAAAAGAAUAAAUAAGAUUACCACUAGCUACUACAGCAAGAACAAAUAAGCUCAAAUCCAAUAAAUUAAUGCAACAUAUAUUAAUUCUUGCUAUCUUACUAUUAAAAGUUAACUUCAAUGUAAACUAAAAAGAAAUAAUAUGAACAUCCAUUAAAGAGUUAGUCAUACGAGAUCUCGAUCGAAUACCUGUCAGUUCUCAACGGUUUUGCCAAUGCUACGUCAACAAGAAACGAUUGCAGCGGUGAUAUAUUCGAGAUGUCCUUCUGAAAGUAGUCAAGCAGGCAACAUGCAUAAAUUAAAUAGAGAGAUGCAUCAAUUGCCUGUCUCCCUAAGAGAUGCCAGGAACUCAUCCUCGAAGAUGCGUUUUAUUGCAGCCAGCCGCUUCUUCAUCUUCAGCACGAAACAAAUCUUCCUCAAACUCAAAUGGUUGAAGACUAUUAAAUGAGUCUUGUGAUGACUAUGCUUCUUCCACUCAUGUGAGAAGACCUGACACUUGGUCAAUGCGUCGGUGAGGUCCAGGAGCACAGAUAUAAAGCGGCGGUAGUAAUCUUCCGUAAGUCUUCGCGUAUCUAUAUCUAUUACAAUAUCUUUGAUUGCUCCCAUAUCAGAAAUCAGAACAGCACCUGAUAAUUCAGAUUCUGUCUCCCUAAGAGAUGCCAGGAACUUAUUCCGGAGAAAUUGAGCAACAUCCCCUGCCAUUCUUCACCUUCAGCACUAUAUUUAUGUAUCUACUGCAAUUUUAAUCAGAAACUGUGGGGAUUUAUAUGAAGAGAACGUGACCACGCCUUGGCCUUUGUUCAGAGCUUUGAUCAAAGGACCUGGAUCUGUUAGUUGGAACAAAAGGUUAUGUCUCUAGUUCGAUCAUUUUCAUAUUCUUAGAUAUAAAAUUGAACUGAUUCUCUCACCGACGUUAUUCAUGCUCAGCAUCAAAUAACUGUUUAAAAAGUAGAAUGAGCCGCUAGGGGAAUCAUAUAUAUUUUUCGUUUGCCAUAGUUCUUUGCGUGCAUGAGUAUAAUGAGCGUUUUCUUUUCUUUUUCCCUUUUUAUUGUUCGCGUUUUGUUAAUCAGUUUCAGUUAUUCCAAUUACAGGUAGCACUUUGUGAAGCUACACGACGACAAGUCCUGAAAUUAACGCAAAAUUGGCAGGUUUAUGUUUACCAUGUUGUCUCACAUGAACUCGAAUGUGACAUAAUAUAAAGGUCAAAACCAUAUGUUGGCAAGUUUGUGAAGUUGAUAUGACCCGUUUAUAUAUAUUUUUUUUGGGCAAUAGUUUAUAUGACACGUUUAACCAGUAUUAUAAUUAUACGAAGAUGAUGAAGCUUUUGUAUUAUCGGACUUGUAUCGGUGAAUAAGAAACUGUCACAUUAUUAGUUGGUAACAAAAAGUUUGUGUCUCUAGUAGAAGCGCAAAUUUUGAUUCAGAAUCCACAUUGUGCCAUUUGGACUAGUUUUUCUUUUAAUUUUUUGAGUUUCAGCUAUAAAACCGAACUGAGGAGUUUAACCAUACUUACCGAAUAUUUGUUCUUUAAAUAAAACACAUAUUUUGUCAUGGUAUCCUGGUCCUUCACACACCAUCUUAUGUUCAUUGAGAUUAAGACUGAUCGAAAAGAAUGGGGAAUCAGACAUAUUUUUCUUUUAUCAUUGUUCUUUGCUUCCAGGACUACCAAGGAGUAUAUGUAAUGAGCCUUUUCUUUUCUCCUUUUCUUUUGUCUUUGCUUCCAGGACUACCAAGGAGUAUAUGUAAUGAGCUUUUUCUUUUCUCCUCUCCUUUUCUUUUGUCUUUGCUUCCAGGACUACCAAGGAGUAUAUAUAUAUGUGAUGAGCUUUUUCUUUUCUCCUUUUCUUUUAUCUAUCCUUCAGGAGAUGUCUCCAAGAGUAAUAGUAAAAACCUUUGUUAAGUAAUAGUUGCUUUUGUUAAUCCAAUUUGCAGAUUCCAAUUAGAGGUUAAUUUUGUGAAUGUUCGAAUUAACAGGCAGAAAUACCACCAAGGCCCGACAAUGCAAGCUGGGCGAGCAAUAGUAAAAGGAAUUUUACAAAUGUUCCCAGAUAUCAAGGGCAGAGCACUCUGGACUUUGCCAAUAAAUUCAGAAGAAUGAGAACUCAUUCAGGACAGACAAACAAAAUUAAAAAAAUUUAAUCUGGCAAAUUUUUAUCUAAAAUUUUAAAUUUUAAAAGAAUUUGUUUCUUUACUUUUGUUUUUUGGCCUACUUCUUUAAUUAAAUAUACGUAAUUGAGCAAUAUCUUAGCCUAAUACUUAUAUUUUAAUUAUUAUUUAACAUAAGAAAUUAAAGAAAAAGUCCACAAAAUAAUUAAUUUAUAUUUAUUAAGUCUUUUGUGAAAUCGUUUGGGCGUCUUAAUUAAAUUUCUCCAUAGCUCAAGAGCCCUAUCCGUUAGUAUUAGCCCAUUACUCGAGUAUCUUUUGAGCCCUUUUUUAUUUUUUACUUUUUCAAAGUUAUUACCCGUAAAAAGAUUUUAGCCCUUUCACGUUUAAUAUUGUAUUAUACACGUACGCAUGUAUUUCUCAUGUUUGAUACACUCAGUUUUUUACAAGAAUUUCAAUAAGACACAAAAUUCACGUAUUAUACACAUAAUUCUAACAUAUUAUUGAAAAAAAUGAUAAUAUGUACUUAAAAAAAUCUCAGUUUUUCCCUAAUUGUUUUUUUAAAGUAGUAUCGCCGUGCGGCUGUACUCGUCUUUUCAAAUUUUUUAAUUUAAAAAAAGUACAGCCGCCGUCUGUGCUUGUUUGACACGUGGCGCAUAGGCGCUGGGCAGUUGUAUAAAGAGUAUAGCCGCCCGGCUAUACUAGAUUCUUUCUGAAUUUUCUUUUUAAAAAUAGUAUAGCACUCGCCAAAUUUAUUUAUUUUUAAAUAGUAUAGCUCUGACACGUGGCACCCGUCCGUCCUUUUUUUAUACAUCAAUAGUAUAGCCGCACGGCUAUACUAUUUAAAAGGAAAAUUUAAUCUGGGAAAUUUUUUCUGAAAUUUUUAAAUAUAAAAGAAUUUGUUUCUUUACCUUUGUUUCUUGGCCUACUUCUUUAAUUAAAUAUAUGUAAUUGAGCAAUAUCUUAACCUUUUUGAAUUACUUUAAUUAGUACUUAUAUUUCAAUUACUAUUUAAUAUAAGAAAUUAAAGAAAAAGUCUACAAAAUAAUUAAUUUGUGGGUGUUUUAAUUAAAUUUCUCCAUAGCCCAAGAGCCCUAUCCGUUAGUAUUAGCCCAUUACUCGAGUAUCUUCUGAGCCCUUUUUUAUUUUUUACUUUUUCAAAGUUAUUACCCGUAUAAAGAUUUUAGCCCUUUCACGUUUAAUAUUGUAUUAUACACGUACGCAUGUAUUUCUCAUGUUUAAUACACUCAUUUUUUUACAUGAAUUUCAAUAAGACACAAAAUUCACGUAUUAUAUACAUAAUUCUAACAUAUUAUUGAAAAAAAUUAUAAUACGUAUUUUAAAAAAAAUCUCAGUUUUUCACUAAUUGUUUUUUUAAAAUAGUAUAGCCGUGCGGCUAUACUCGUCGUUUCAAAUUUUUUAAUUAAAAAUAGUACAGCCGCCCGUCUGUACCUGUUUGACACGUGGGGCAGUUGUACAAAGCGUAUAGCCGCACGGCUAUACUAGAUUCUUGCUGAAUUUUCUUUUUAAAAAAAGUAUAGCCGUGCAGCUAUACUCGCCAAAUUUAUUUUUUUUAAAUAGUGUAGCUCUGCCACGUGGCACCCGUGCGUCCUUUUUUAUCAUCAACAGUAUAGCCGCACGGCUAUACUAUCUAAAAAGAAAAUUUAAUCUGGGAAAUUUUUUCUAAAAUUUUUAAAUAUAAAAGAAUUUGUUUCUUUACCUUUGUUUCUUGGCCUACUUCUUUAAUUAAAUAUAUGUAAUUGAGCAAUAUCUUAGCCUUUUUGAAUUACUUUAAUUAGUACUUAUAUUUCAAUGACUAUUUAAUAUAAGAAAUUAAAGAAAAAGUCCACAAAAUAAUUACUUUGGGGUGUUUUAAUUAAAUUUCUCCAUAGCCCAAGAGCCCUAUCCGUUAGUAUUAGCCCAUUACUCGAGUAUCCUUUUAGCCCUUUUUUAUUUUUUACUUUUUCAAAGUUAUUACCCGUAUAAAGAUUUUAGCCCUUUCACGUUUAAUAUUGUAUUAUACACGUACACACGUAUUUCUCAUGUUUGAUACACUCAUUUUUUCACAAGAAUUUCAAUAAGACACAAAAUUCACGUAUUAUACACAUAAUUCUAACAUAUUAUUGAAAAAAAUAAUACUAUGUAUUUAAAAAAAUCUCAGUUUUUCCAUAAUUAAUUUUUAAAAUAGUAUAGCCGUGCGCCUAUAUCGUCUUUUCAAAUUUUUUAAUUAAAAAUAGUACAGCCGCCCGUCUGUACCUGUUUGACACGUGGCGCAUAGGCGCUGGGCAGUUGUGUAAAGAGUAUAGCCGCCCGGCUCGACUAGAUUAAUUCUGAAUUUUCUUUCAAAAUAGUAUAGCCGUGGGGCUAUACUCGCCAAAUUUAUUUUUUUAAAUAGUACAGCUCUGACACGUGGCACCUGUGCGUCCUUAAAGAAAAUUUAAUCUGGCAAUUUUUUUUCUAAAAUUUUUAAAUAUAAAAGAAUUUGUUUCAUUACCUUUGUUUUUUGGCCUACUUCUUUAAUUAAAUAUAUGUAAUUGAGAAAUAUCUUAGCCUUUUUGAAUUACUUUAAUUGGUACUUAUGUUUUAAUUAUUAUUUAAUAUAAGAAAUUAAAGAAAAAGUCCACAAAAUAAUUAAUUUCUGGGUGGUUUAAUUAAAUUUCUCCAUAGCCCAAGAGCCCUAUCCAUUAGUAUUAGCCCAUUACUCGAGUAUCUUUUGAGCCCUUUUUUAUUUUUUACUUUUUCAAAGUUAUUACUCGUAUAAAGAUUUUAUCCCUUUCACGUUUAAUAAUGUAUUAUGCACGUACGUAUGUAUUUCUCAUGUUUAAUACACUCAUUUUUUUACAAGAAUUUCAAUAAGACACAAAAUUCACGUAUUAUACACAUAAUUCUAACAUAUUAUUGAAUAAAUCAUAAUAUGUAUUUAAAAAAAUCUCAGUUUUUCCCUAAAAUAGUAUAGCCGUGCGGCUAUACUCGUGUUUUCAAAAAGUUUCACUAAAAAUAGUACAGCCGCCCGUCUGUACCUAUUUGACACGUGCAGUUGUAUAAAGAGUAUAGCCGCCCGGCGGUACUAGAUUAAUUCUGAAUUUUCUUUAAAAAAUAGUAGAGCCGGGCGGCUAUACGCGCCAAAUUUAUUUUUUAAAAUAGUACAGCUCUGACACGUGGCACCUGUGCGUCCUUUUUUUAAUAUAUAAAUAGUAUAGCCGCACGGCUAUACUAUUUGAAAAGAAAAUUUAAUCUGGGAAUUGUUUUCUAAAAUUUUUAAAUAUAAAAGAAUUUGUUUCUUUACCUUUGUUUUUUGGCCUACUUCUUUAAUUAAAUAUAUGUAAUUGAGCAAUAUCUUAGCCUUUUUGAAUUACUUUAAUUGGUACUUAUAUUUUAAUUAUUAUUUCAUAUAAGAAAUUAAAGAAAAAGUCCACAAAAUAAUUAAUUUAUGGGUGUUUUAAUUAAAUUUCUCCAUAGCCCAAGAGCCUUAUCCGUUAGUAUUAGCCCAUUACUCGAGUAUCUUUUGAGCCCUUUUUUAUUUUUAACUUUUCCAAAGUUAUUACUCGUGUAAAGAUUUUAUCCCUUUCACGUUUAAUAAUGUAUUAUGCACGUACGUAUGCAUUUCUCAUGACUCAUUUUUUUACAAGAAUUUCAGUAAGACACAAAAUUCACGUAUUAUACACAUAAUUCUAACAUAUUAUUGAAAAAAUCAUAAUAUGUAUUUAAAAAAAUCUCAGUUUUUCCCAAAAAUAGUAUAGCCGUGCGUCUGUACCUGUUUGACACGUGGCGCAUGGGCGCUGGGCAGUUGUAUAAAGAGUAUAGCCGCCCGGCUGUACUGGAUUAAUUCUGAAUUUUCUUUAAAAAUAGUAUAGCCGUCGGGCUAUACUCGCCAAAUUUAUUUUUUUAAAUAGUACAGCUCUGACACGUGGCACCUGUGCGUCCUUUUUUUAAUAUAUAAAUAGUAUAGCCGCACGGCUAUACUAUUUGAAAAGAAAAUUUAAUCUGGGAAUUUUUUAAAGAAUUUGUUUCUUUACCUUUGUUUUUUGGCUUACUUCUUUAAUUAAAUAUAUGUAAUUGAGCAAUAUCUUAGCCUUUUUGAAUUACUUUAAUUGGUACUUAUAUUUUAAUUAUUGUUUAAUAUUAGAAAUUAAAGAAAAAGUCCACAAAAUAAUUAAUUUAUGGGUGUUUUAAUUAAAUUUCUCCAUAGCCCAAGAGCCCUAUCCGUUAGUAUUAGCCCAUUACUCGAGUAUCUUUUGAGCCCUUUUUUAUUUUUUACUUUUCCAAAGUUAUUACUCAUAUAAAGAUUUUAUCCCUUUCACGUUUAAUAAUGUAUUAUGCACGUACGUAUGUAUUUCUCAUGACUCAUUUUUUUACAAGAAUUUCAAUAAGACACAAAAUUCACGUAUUAUACACAUAAUUCCAACAUAUUAUUGAAAAAAUCAUAAUAUGUAUUUAAAAAAAUCUCAGUUUUUCCCUAAAAUAGUAUAGCCGUGCGGCGAUACUCGUGUUUUCAAAAAUUUUCACUAAAAAUAGUACAGCCGCCCGUCUGUACCUGUUUGACACGUGGCGCAUGGGCGCUGGGCAGUUGUAUAAAGAGUAUAGCCGCCCGGCUGUACGGGAUUAAUUCUGAAUUUUCUUUAAAAAUAGUAUAGCCGUGCGGCUAUACUCGCCAAAUUUAUUUUUUUAAAUAGUACAGCUCUGACACGUGGCACCUGUGCGUCCUUUUUUUAAUAUAUAAAUAGUAUAGCCGCACGGCUAUACUAUUUGAAAAGAAAAUUUAAUCUGGGAAUUUUUUUCUAAAAUUUUUAAAUAUAAAAGAAUUUGUUUCUUUACCUUUGUUUUUUGGCCUACUUCUUUAAUUAAAUAUAUGUAAUUGAGCAAUAUCUUAGCCUUUUUGAAUUACUUUAAUUAGUACUUAUAUUUCAAUGACUAUUUAAUAUAAGAAAUUAAAGAAAAAGUCUACAAAAUAAUUAAUUUGUGGGUGUUUUAAUUAAAUUUCUCCAUAGCCCAAGAGCCCUAUCCGUUAGUAUUAGCCCAUUACUCGAGUAUCUUCUGAGCCCUUUUUUAUUUUUUACUUUUUCAAAGUUAUUACCCGUAAAAAGAUUUUAGCCCUUUCACGUUUAAUAUUGUAUUAUACACGUACGCAUGUAUUUCUCAUGUUUGAUACACUCAGUUUUUUACAAGAAUUUCAAUAAGACACAAAAUUCACGUAUUAUACACGUAAUUCUAACAUAUUAUUGAAAAAAAUGAUAAUAUGUACUUAAAACAAUCUCAGUUUUUCCCUAAUUGUUUUUUUAAAGUAGUAUCGCCGUGCGGCUAUACUCGUCUUUUCAAAUUUUUUAAUUUAAAAAAAGUACAGCCGCCGUCUGUACUUGUUUGACACGUGGCGCAUAGGCGCUGGGCAGUUGUAUAAAGAGUAUAGCCGCCCGGCUAUACUAGAUUCUUUCUGAAUUUUCUUUUUAAAAAUAGUAUAGCACUCGCCAAAUUUAUUUAUUUUUAAAUAGUAUAGCUCUGACACGUGGCACCCGUCCGUCCUUUUUUUAUACAUCAAUAGUAUAGCCGCACGGCUAUACUAUUUAAAAGGAAAAUUUAAUCUGGGAAUUGUUUUCUAAAAUUUUUAAAUAUAAAAGAAUUUGUUUCUUUACCUUUGUUUUUUGGCCUACUUCUUUAAUUAAAUAUAUGUAAUUGAGCAAUAUCUUAGCCUUUUUGAAUUACUUUAAUUGGUACUUAUAUUUUAAUUAUUAUUUAAUAUAAGAAAUUAAAGAAAAAGUCCACAAAAUAAUUAAUUUAUGGGUGUUUUAAUUAAAUUUCUCCAUAGCCCAAGAGCCUUAUCCGUUAGUAUUAGCCCAUUACUCGAGUAUCUGUUGAGCCCUUUUUUAUUUUUUACUUUUCCAAAGUUAUUACUCGUAUAAAGAUUUUAUCCCUUUCACGUUUAAUAAUGUAUUAUGCACGUACGUAUGCAUUUCUCAUGACUCACUUUUUUACAAGAAUUUCAGUAAGACACAAAAUUCACGUAUUAUACACAUAACUCUAACAUAUGAUUGAAAAAAUCAUAAUAUGUAUUGAAAAAAAUCUCAGUUUUUCCCUAAAAUAGUAUAGCCGUUUGGCUAUACUCGUGUUUUCAAAAUUUUUAACUAAAAAUAGUACAGCCGCCCGUCUGUACCUGUUUGACACGUGGCGCAUGGGCGCUGGGCAGUUGUAUAAAGAGUAUAGCCGCCCGGCUGUACUGGAUUAAUUCUGAAUUUUCUUUAAAAAUAGUAUAGCUGUGGGGCUAUACUCGCCAAAUUUAUUUUUUUAAAUAGUACAGCUCUGACACGUGGCACCUGUGCGUCCUUUUUUUAAUAUAUAAAUAGUAUAGCCGCACGGCUAUACUAUUUGAAAAGAAAAUUUAAUCUGGGAAUUUUUUAAAGAAUUUGUUUCUUUACCUUUGUUUUUUGGCUUACUUCUUUAAUUAAAUAUAUGUAAUUGAGCAAUAUCUUAGCCUUUUUGAAUUACUUUAAUUGGUACUUAUAUUUUAAUUAUUAUUUAAUAUUAGAAAUUAAAGAAAAAGUCCACAAAAUAAUUAAUUUAUGGGUGUUUUAAUUAAAUUUCUCCAUAGCCCAAGAGCCCUAUCCGUUAGUAUUAGCCCAUUACUCGAGUAUCUUUUGAGCCCUUUUUUAUUUUUUACUUUUCCAAAGUUAUUACUCAUAUAAAGAUUUUAUCCCUUUCACGUUUAAUAAUGUAUUAUGCACGUACGUAUGUAUUUCUCAUGACUCAUUUUUUUACAAGAAUUUCAAUAAGACACAUAAUUCCAACAUAUUAUUGAAAAAAUCAUAAUAUGUAUUUAAAAAAAUCUCAGUUUUUCCCUAAAAUAGUAUAGCCGUGCGGCUAUACUCGUGUUUUCAAAAAUUUUCACUAAAAAUAGUACAGCCGCCCGUCUGUACCUAUUUGACACGUGCAGUUGUAUAAAGAGUAUAGCCGCCCGGCGGUACUAGAUUAAUUCUGAAUUUUCUUUAAAAAAUAGUAGAGCCGGGCGGCUAUACGCGCCAAAUUUAUUUUUUAAAAUAGUACAGCUCUGACACGUGGCACCUGUGCGUCCUUUUUUUAAUAUAUAAAUAGUAUAGCCGCACGGCUAUACUAUUUGAAAAGAAAAUUUAAUCUGGGAAUUGUUUUCUAAAAUUUUUAAAUAUAAAAGAAUUUGUUUCUUUACCUUUGUUUUUUGGCCUACUUCUUUAAUUAAAUAUAUGUAAUUGAGCAAUAUCUUAGCCUUUUUGAAUUACUUUAAUUAGUACUUAUAUUUCAAUGACUAUUUAAUAUAAGAAAUUAAAGAAAAAGUCUACAAAAUAAUUAAUUUGUGGGUGUUUUAAUUAAAUUUCUCCAUAGCCCAAGAGCCCUAUCCGUUAGUAUUAGCCCAUUACUCGAGUAUCUUCUGAGCCCUUUUUUUGUUUUUUACUUUUUCAAAGUUAUUACCCGUAAAAAGAUUUUAGCCCUUUCACGUUUAAUAUUGUAUUAUACACGUACGCAUGUAUUUCUCAUGUUUGAUACACUCAGUUUUUUACAAGAAUUUCAAUAAGACACAAAAUUCACGUAUUAUACACGUAAUUCUAACAUAUUAUUGAAAAAAAUGAUAAUAUGUACUUAAAACAAUCUCAGUUUUUCCCUAAUUGUUUUUUUAAAGUAGUAUCGCCGUGCGGCUAUACUCGUCUUUUCAAAUUUUUUAAUUUAAAAAAAGUACAGCCGCCGUCUGUACUUGUUUGACACGUGGCGCAUAGGCGCUGGGCAGUUGUAUAAAGAGUAUAGCCGCCCGGCUAUACUAGAUUCUUUCUGAAUUUUCUUUUUAAAAAUAGUAUAGCACUCGCCAAAUUUAUUUAUUUUUAAAUAGUAUAGCUCUGACACGUGGCACCCGUCCGUCCUUUUUUUAUACAUCAAUAGUAUAGCCGCACGGCUAUACUAUUUAAAAGGAAAAUUUAAUCUGGGAAUUGUUUUCUAAAAUUUUUAAAUAUAAAAGAAUUUGUUUCUUUACCUUUGUUUUUUGGCCUACUUCUUUAAUUAAAUAUAUGUAAUUGAGCAAUAUCUUAGCCUUUUUGAAUUACUUUAAUUGGUACUUAUAUUUUAAUUAUUAUUUAAUAUAAGAAAUUAAAGAAAAAGUCCACAAAAUAAUUAAUUUAUGGGUGUUUUAAUUAAAUUUCUCCAUAGCCCAAGAGCCUUAUCCGUUAGUAUUAGCCCAUUACUCGAGUAUCUUUUGAGCCCUUUUUUAUUUUUUACUUUUCCAAAGUUAUUACUCGUAUAAAGAUUUUAUCCCUUUCACGUUUAAUAAUGUAUUAUGCACGUACGUAUGCAUUUCUCAUGACUCAUUUUUUUACAAGAAUUUCAGUAAGACACAAAAUUCACGUAUUAUACACAUAAUUCUAACAUAUUAUUGAAAAAAUCAUAAUAUGUAUUUAAAAAAAUCUCAGUUUUUCCCAAAAAUAGUAUAGCCGUGCGUCUGUACCUGUUUGACACGUGGCGCAUGGGCGCUGGGCAGUUGUAUAAAGAGUAUAGCCGCCCGGCUGUACUGGAUUAAUUCUGAAUUUUCUUUAAAAAUAGUAUAGCUGUGGGGCUAUACUCGCCAAAUUUAUUUUUUUAAAUAGUACAGCUCUGACACGUGGCACCUGUGCGUCCUUUUUUUAAUAUAUAAAUAGUAUAGCCGCACGGCUAUACUAUUUGAAAAGAAAAUUUAAUCUGGGAAUUUUUUAAAGAAUUUGUUUCUUUACCUUUGUUUUUUGGCUUACUUCUUUAAUUAAAUAUAUGUAAUUGAGCAAUAUCUUAGCCUUUUUGAAUUACUUUAAUUGGUACUUAUAUUUUAAUUAUUAUUUAAUAUUAGAAAUUAAAGAAAAAGUCCACAAAAUAAUUAAUUUAUGGGUGUUUUAAUUAAAUUUCUCCAUAGCCCAAGAGCCCUAUCCGUUAGUAUUAGCCCAUUACUCGAGUAUCUUUUGAGCCCUUUUUUAUUUUUUUUUUCCAAAGUUAUUACUCGUAUAAAGAUUUUAUCCCUUUCACGUUUAAUAAUGUAUUAUGCACGUACGUAUGUAUUUCUCAUGACUCAUUUUUUUACAAGAAUUUCAAUAAGACACAAAAUUCAAGUAUUAUACACAUAAUUCCAACAUAUUAUUGAAAAAAUCAUAAUAUGUAUUUAAAAAAAUCUCAGUUUUUCCCUCAAAUAGUAUAGCCGUGCGGCUAUACUCGUGUUUUCAAAAUUUUUAACUAAAAAUAGUACAGCCGCCCGUCUGUACCUGUUUGACACGUGGCGCAUGGGCGCUGGGCAGUUGUGUAAAGCGUAUAGCCCCCCGGCUGUACUGGAUUAAUUCUGAAUCUUCUUUAAAAAAUAGUAUAGCCGUGCGGCUAUACUCGCCACAUUAAUUUUUUUAAAUAGUACAGCUCUGACACGUGGCACCUGUGCGUCCUUUUUUUAAUAUAUAAAUAGUAUAGCCGCACGGCUAUACUAUUUGAAAAGAAAAUUUAAUCUGGGAAUUUUUUUCUAAAAUUUUUAAAUAUAAAAGAAUUUGUUUCUUUACCUUUGUUUUUUGGCCUACUUCUUUAAUUAAAUAUAAGUAAUUGAGCAAUAUCUUAGCCUUUUUGAAUUACUUUAAUUGGUACUUAUAUUUUCAUUAUUAUUUAAUAUAAGAAAUUAAAGAAAAAGUCCACAAAAUAAUUAAUUUAUGGGUGUUUUAAUUAAAUUUCUCCAUAGCCCAAGAGCCUUAUCCGUUAGUAUUAGCCCAUUACUCGAGUAUCUUUGAGCCCUUUUUUAUUUUUUACUUUUCCAAGUUAUUACACGUAUAAGGAUUUUAUCCCUUCACGUUAAUAUGUAUUAUGCACGUACGUANNNNNNNNNNNNNNNNNNNNNNNNNNNNNNNNNNNNNNNNNNNNNNNNNNNNNNNNNNNNNNNNNNNNNNNNNNNNNNNNNNNNNNNNNNNNNNNNNNNNNNNNNNNNNNNNNNNNNNNNNNNNNNNNNNNNNNNNNNNNNNNNNNNNNNNNNNNNNNNNNNNNNNNNNNNNNNNNNNNNNNNNNNNNNNNNNNNNNNNNNNNNNNNNNNNNNNNNNNNNNNNNNNNNNNNNNNNNNNNNNNNNNNNNNNNNNNNNNNNNNNNNNNNNNNNNNNNNNNNNNNNNNNNNNNNNNNNNNNNNNNNNNNNNNNNNNNNNNNNNNNNNNNNNNNNNNNNNNNNNNNNNNNNNNNNNNNNNNNNNNNNNNNNNNNNNNNNNNNNNNNNNNNNNNNNNNNNNNNNNNNNNNNNNNNNNNNNNNNNNNNNNNNNNNNNNNNNNAUUUAAUCUGGGAAUUUUUUUCUAAAAUUUUAAAAUAUAAAAGAAUUUGUUUCUUUACGUUUGUUUUUUGGCCUAACUUUCUUUAAUUAAAAUAUAAGUAAUUGAGCAAUAUCUUAGCCUUUUUGAAUUACUUUAAUUGGUACUUAUAUUUUCAUUAUUAUUUAAUAUAAGAAAUUAAAGAAAAAGUCCACAAAAUAAUUAAUUUAUGGGUGUUUUAAUUAAAUUUCUCCAUAGCCCAAGAGCCUUAUCCGUUAGUAUUAGCCCAUUACUCGAGUAUCUUUUGAGCCCUUUUUUAUUUUUUACUUUUCCAAAGUUAUUACACGUAUAAAGAUUUUAUCCCUUUCACGUUUAAUAAUGUAUUAUGCACGUACGUAUGUAUUUCUCAUGACUCAUUUUUUUACAAGAAUUUCAAUAAGACACAAAAUUCACGUAUUAUACACAUAAUUCCAACAUAUUAUUGAAAAAAUCAUAAUAUGUAUUCAAAAAAAUCUCAGUUUUUCCCUAAAAUAGUAUAGCCGUGCGGCUAUACUCGUGUUUUCAAAAAUUUUAACUAAAAAUAGUACAGCCGCCCGUCUGUACCUGUUUGACACGUGGCGCAUGGGCGCUGGGCAGUUAUAUAAAGAGUAUAGCCGCCCGGCUGUACUGGAUUAAUUCUGAAUUUUCUUUAUAAAAUAGUAUAGCCGUGCGGCUAUACUCGCCACAUUUAUUUUUUUAAAUAGUACAGCUCUGACACGUGGCACCUGUUCGACCUUUUUUUAAUAUAUAAAUAGUAUAGCCGCACGGCUAUACUAUUUGAAAAGAAAAUUUAAUCUGGGAAUUUUUUUCUAAAAUUUUUAAAUAUAAAAGAAUUUGUUUCUUUACCUUUGUUUUUUGGCCUACUUCUUUAAUUAAAUAUAUGUAAUUGAGCAAUAUCUUAGCCUUUUUGAAUUACUUUAAUUGGUACUUAUAUUUUAAUUAUUAUUUAAUAUAAGAAAUUAAAGAAAAAGUCCACAAAAUAAUUAAUUUAUGGGUGUUUUAAUUAAAUUUCUCCAUAGCCCAAGAGCCCUAUCCGUUAGUAUUAGCCCAUUACUCGAGUAUCUUUUGAGCCCUUUUUUAUUUUUUCUUUUCCAAAGUUAUUACUCGUAUAAAGAUUUUAUCCCUUUCACGUUUAAUAAUGUAUUAUGCACGUACGUAUGUAUUUCUCAUGACUCAUUUUUUUACAAGAAUUUCAAUAAGACACAAAAUUCAAGUAUUAUACACAUAAUUCCAACAUAUUAUUGAAAAAAUCAUAAUAUGUAUUUAAAAAAAUCUCAGUUUUUCCCUCAAAUAGUAUAGCCGUGCGGCUAUACUCGUGUUUUCAAAAUUUUUAACUAAAAAUAGUACAGCCGCCCGUCUGUACCUGUUUGACACGUGGCGCAGUGGGCGCUGGGCAGUUGUGUAAAGCGUAUCGCCGCCCGGCUGUACUGNNNNNNNNNNNNNNNNNNNNNNNNNNNNNNNNNNNNNNNNNNNNNNNNNNNNNNNNNNNNNNNNNNNNNNNNNNNNNNNNNNNNNNNNNNNNNNNNNNNNCAUUAAUUUUUUUAAAUAGUACAGCUCUGACACGUGGCACCUGUGCGUCCUUUUUUUUAAUAUAUAAAUAGUAUAGCCGCACGGCUAUACUAUUUGAAAAGAAAAUUUAAUCUGGGAAUUUUUUUCUAAAAUUUUUAAAUAUAAAAGAAUUUGUUUCUUUACGUUUGUUUUUUGGCCUACUUCUUUAAUUAAAUAUAAGUAAUUGAGCAAUAUCUUAGCCUUUUUGAAUUACUUUAAUUGGUACUUAUAUUUUCAUUAUUAUUUAAUAUAAGAAAUUAAAGAAAAAGUCCACAAAAUAAUUAAUUUAUGGGUGUUUUAAUUAAAUUUCUCCAUAGCCCAAGAGCCCUAUCCGUUAGUAUUAGCCCAUUACUCGAGUAUCUUUUGAGCCCUUUUUUAUUUUUUACUUUUCCAAAGUUAUUACUCGUAUAAAGAUUUUAUCCCUUUCACGUUUAAUAAUGUAUUAUGCACGUACGUAUGUAUUUCUCAUGACUCAUUUUUUUACAAGAAUUUCAAUAAGACACAAAAUUCACGUAUUAUACACAUAAUUCCAACAUAUUAUUGAAAAAAUCAUAAUAUGUAUUUAAAAAAAUCUCAGUUCUUCCUUAUAAUAGUAGCGCCGUGCGGCUAUAGUCGUGUUCUUUAUAUUUUAACUAAAAAAUAGUACAUCCGCCCGUCUGUACCUGUUUGACACGUGGCGCAUGGGCGCUGGGCAGUUGGUAUAAAGAGUAUAGCCGCCCGGCUGUACUGGAUUAAUCUGAAAUUUUCUUUAAAAAAUAGUAUAGCCGUGCGGCUAUACUCGCCACAUUUAUUUUUUUAAAUAGUACAGCUCUGACACGUGGCACCUGUGCUACCUUUUUUUAAUAUAUAAAUAGUAUAGCCGCACGGCUAUACUAUUUGAAAAGAAAAUUUAAUCUGGGAAUUUUUUUCUAAAAUUUUUAAAUAUAAAAGAAUUUGUUUCUUUACCUUUGUUUUUUGGCCUACUUCUUUAAUUAAAUAUAUGUAAUUGAGCAAUAUCUUAGCCUUUUUGAAUUACUUUAAUUGUUUCUUAUAUUUUAAUUAUUAUUUAAUAUAAGAAAUUAAAGAAAAAGUCCACAAAAUAAUUAAUUUAUGGGUGUUUUAAUUAAAUUUCUCCAUAGCCCAAGAGCCCUAUCCGUUAGUAUUAGCCCAUUACUCGAGUAUCUUUUGAGCCCUUUUUUAUUUUUUACUUUUCCAAAGUUAUUACUCGUAUAAAGAUUUUAUCCCUUUCACGUUUAAUAAUGUAUUAUGCACGUACGUAUUUAUUUCUCAUGACUCAUUUUUUUACAAGAAUUUCAAUAAGACACAAAAUUCACGUAUUAUACACAUAAUUCUAACAUAUUAUUGAAAAAAUCAUAAUAUGUAUUUAAAAAAAUCUCAGUUUUUCCCUAAAAUAGUAUAGCCGUUUGGCUAUACUCGUGUUUUCAAAAUUUUUAACUAAAAAUAGUACAGCCGCCCGUCUGUACCUGUUUGACACGUGGCGCAUGGGCGCUGGGCAGUUGUAUAAAGAGUAUAGCCGCCCGGCCGUACUGGAUUAAUUCUGAAUUUUCUUUACAAAAUAGUAUAGCCGUGCGGCUAUACUCGCCAAAUUUAUGUUUUUAAAUAGUACAGCUCUGACACGUGGCACCUGUGCGUCCUUUUUUAAAUAUAUAAAUAGUAUAGCCGCACGGCUAUACUAUUUGAAAAGAAAAUUUAAUCUGGGAAUUUUUUUCUAAAAUUUUUAAAUAUAAAAGAAUUUGUUUCUUUACCUUUGUUUUUGGCCUACUUCUUUAAUUAAAUAUAUGUAAUUGAGCAAUAUCUUAGCCUUUUUGAAUUACUUUAAUUGAUACUUAUAUUUUAAUUAUUAUUUAAUAUAAGAAAUUAAAGAAAAAGUCCACAAAAUAAUUAAUUUAUGGGUGUUUUAAUUAAAUUUCUCAAUAGCCCAAGAGCCCUAUCCGUUAGUAUUAGCCCAUUACUCGAGUAUCUUUUGAGCCCUUUUUUAUUUUUUACUUUUCCAAAGUUAUUACUCGUAUAAAGAUUUUAUCCCUUUCACGUUUAAUAAUGUAUUAUGCACGUACGUAUGUAUUUCUCAUGACUCAUUUUUUUUACAAGAAUUUCAAUAAGACACAAAAUUCACGUAUUAUCCACUUAUUUCCAACAUAUUAUUGAAAAAAAUCAUAAUAGGUAUUUAAAAAAAUCUCAGUUAUUCCCUAAAAUAGUAUAGCCGUGCGGCUAUACCCGUGUUUUCAAAAAUUUUAACUAAAAAUAGUACAGCCGCCCGUCUGUACCUGUUUGACACGUGGCGCAUGGGCGCUGGGCAGUUGUAUAAAGAGUAUAGCCGCCCGGCUGUACUGGAUUAAUUCUGAAUUUUCUUUAAAAAAUAGUAUAGCCGUGCGGCUAUACUCGCCACAUUUAUUUUUUUAAAUAGUACAGCUCUGACACGUGGCACCUGUGCGACCUUUUUUUAAUAUAUAAAUAGUAUAGCCGCACGGCUAUACUAUUUGAAAAGAAAAUUUAAUCUGGGAAUUUUUUUCUAAAAUUUUUAAAUAUAAAAGAAUUUGUUUCUUUACCUUUGUUUUUUGGCCUACUUCUUUAAUUAAAUAUAUGUAAUUGAGCAAUAUCUUAGCCUUUUUGAAUUACUUUAAUUGUUACUUAUAUUUUAAUUAUUAUUUAAUAUAAGAAAUUAAAGAAAAAGUCCACAAAAUAAUUAAUUUAUGGGUGUUUUAAUUAAAUUUCUCCAUAGCCCAAGAGCCCUAUCCGUUAGUAUUAGCCCAUUACUCGAGUAUCUUUUGAGCCCUUUUUUAUUUUUUACUUUUCCAAAGUUAUUACUCGUAUAAAGAUUUUAUCCCUUUCACGUUUAAUCUAUAUAUAUAAAGCAAAAGGCAGAGAAUGGUGAAACAUUCAAAAUACCAGAAAAUGCCCUUGGUUAAUGCAAACAUUCAGAAUUCAAAUUAUUAAUUAAAUGAGGAUAAAAUGAUAAAUUCAUACUUUUUCAUAUUUAAAAAAAUUAAAAAAAGAAAAAGAAAAAGCAGAUAAUGGAUCCUAUUUUUAUGGAACACAACUAUCCAUUAUCUUUUUUAAUUCUAAAAUAAAUUUACUUUUUUUUUUUUUUAAAAACCUCUCGCAAGCGCGGAAGCGCGUGCAGAGAGGCUAGUAUAUAUAAAGCAAAAGGCAGAGAAUGGUGAAACAUUCACAAUACCAGAAAAUGCCCUUGGUUAAUGCAAAUAUUAAGAUUUCAAAUUAUUAAUUAAAUGAGGAUAAUAUGGUAAAUUCACACUUUUUCAUAUUUAAAAAAAUUAAAAAAAAAAGAAAAAACAGAUAAUGGAUCCUAUUUUUAUGGAACACGACUACCCAUUAUCUUUUUUAAUUCUAAAAUAAAUUUACUUAUUUUUUUUAAAAAACCUCUCGCAAGCGCGGAAGCGCGUGCAGAGAGGCUAGUAAUGUAUUAUGCACGUACGUAUGUAUUUCUCAUGACUCAUUUUUUUCCAAGAAUUUCAGUAAGACACAAAAUUCACGUAUUAUACACAUAAUUCUAACAUAUUAUUGAAAAAAUCAUAAUGUGUAUUUAAAAAAAUCUCAGUUUUUCCCUAAAAUAGUAUAGCCGUGCGGCUAUACUCGUGUUUUCAAAAUUUUUAACUAAAAAUAGUACAGCCGCCCGUCGGUACCUGUUUGACACGUGGCGCAUGGGCGCUGGGCAGUUGUAUAAAGCGUAUAGCCGCCCGGCUGUACUGGAUGAAUUCUGAAUUUUCUUUAAAAAUAGUAUAGCCGUGCGGCUAUACUCGCCAAAUUUAUUUUUUUAAAUAGUACAGCUCUGACACGUGGCACCUGUGCGUCCUUUUUUUAAUAUAUAAAUAGUAUAGCCGCACGCCUAUACUAUUUGAAAAGAAAAUUUAAUCCGGGAAUUUUUUUCUAAAAUUUUUAAAUAUAAAAGAAUUUGUUUCUUUACCUUUGUUUUUGGCCUACUUCUUUAAUUAAAUAUAUGUAAUUGAGCAAUAUCUUAGCCUUUUUGAAUUACUUUAAUUGGUACUUAUGUUUUAAUUAUUAUUUAAUAUAAGAAAUUAAAGAAAAAGUCCACAAAAUAAUUAAUUUAUGGGUGUUUUAAUUAAAUUUCUCCAUAGCCCAAGAGCCCUAUCCGUUAGUAUUAGCCCAUUACUCGAGUAUCUUUUGAGCCCUUUUUUAUUUUUUACUUUUCCAAAGUUAUUACUCGUAUAAAGAUUUUAUCCCUUUCACGUUUAAUAAUGUAUUAUGCACGUACGUAUGUAUUCUCAUGACUCAUUUUUUUUACAAGAAUUUCAAUAAGACACAAAAGUCCCGUAUUUAUAAUUCAACUAAAUUAUAAAAAAAAUCAUAAUAUGUAUACAAAAAAAUUCUCAGUUUUCCCUUAUAUAGUAUAACCGUGCAGGCCAUAGUAGUGUUCCAAUAAAUUUUAACUAAAAUAGUACAGAAACGUGUCUGUACCUGUUUGACACGUGGCGCAUGUGCGCUGGGCAGGUAGAUCAAGUGUAUAGCCGCCCGACUGGCCCGGAUUAAUUAUGAAUUUUCUUUAUAAAAUAUUAUAGCCGAGCGGCUAUACUCGCCACAUUAAUUUUUUUAAAAUAAUACAGCUUUUACCGUGGCACCUGUUCGAUCUUUUUUUUAUAUAUAAAUAGUAUAGCCGCACGGCUAUACUAUUUGAAAAGAAAAUUUAAUCUGGGAAUUUUUUUCUAAAAUUUUUAAAUAUAAAAGAAUUUGUUUCUUUACCUUUGUUUUUUGGCCUACUUCUUUAAUUAAAUAUAUGUAAUUGAGCAAUAUCUUAGCCUUUUUGAAUUACUUUAAUUGGUACUUAUAUUUUAAUUAUUAUUUAAUAUAAGAAAUUAAAGAAAAAGUCCACAAAAUAAUUAAUUUAUGGGUGUUUUAAUUAAAUUUCUCCAUAGCCCAAGAGCCCUAUCCGUUAGUAUUAGCCCAUUACUCGAGUAUCUUUUGAGCCCUUUUUUAUUUUUUACUUUUCCAAAGUUAUUACUCGUAUAAAGAUUUUAUCCCUUUCACGUUUAAUAAUGUAUUAUGCACGUACGUAUGUAUUUCUCAUGACUCAUUUUUUUACAAGAAUUUCAAUAAGACACAAAAUUCACGUAUUAUACACAUAAUUCCAACAUAUUAUUGAAAAAAUCAUAAUAUGUAUUUAAAAAAAUCUCAGUUUUUCCUUAAAAUAGUAUCGCCGUGCGGCUAUACUCGUGUUUUCAAAAAUUUUAACUAAAAAUAGUACAGCCGCCCGUCUGUACCUGUUUGACACGUGGCGCAUGGGCGCUGGGCAGUUGUAUAAAGAGUAUAGCCGCCCGGCUGUACUGGAUUAAUUCUGAAUUUUCUUUAAAAAAUAGUAUAGCCGUGCGGCUAUACUCGCCAAAUUUAUUUUUUUAAAUAGUACAGCUCUGACACGUGGCACCUGUGCGUCCUUUUUUUAAUAUAUAAAUAGUAUAGCCGCACGCCUAUACUAUUUGAAAAGAAAAUUUAAUCCGGGAAUUUUUUUCUAAAAUUUUUAAAUAUAAAAGAAUUUGUUUCUUUACCUUUGUUUUUGGCCUACUUCUUUAAUUAAAUAUAUGUAAUUGAGCAAUAUCUUAGCCUUUUUGAAUUACUUUAAUUGGUACUUAUGUUUUAAUUAUUAUUUAAUAUAAGAAAUUAAAGAAAAAGUCCACAAAAUAAUUAAUUUAUGGGUGUUUUAAUUAAAUUUCUCCAUAGCCCAAGAGCCCUAUCCGUUAGUAUUAGCCCAUUACUCGAGUAUCUUUUGAGCCCUUUUUUAUUUUUUACUUUUCCAAAGUUAUUACUCGUAUAAAGAUUUUAUCCCUUUCACGUUUAAUAAUGUAUUAUGCACGUACGUAUGUAUUUCUCAUGACUCAUUUUUUUUACAAGAAUUUCAAUAAGACACAAAAGUCACGUAUUAUACACAUAAUUCCAACAUAUUAUUGAAAAAAUCAUAAUAUGUAUUUAAAAAAAUCUCAGUUUUUCCCUAAAAUAGUAUAGCCGUGCGGCUAUUCGCGUGUUUUCAAAAAUUUUAACUAAAAAUAGUAGAGCCGCCCGUCUGUACCUGUUUGACACGUGGCGCAUGGGCGCUGGGCAGUUGUAUAAAGAGUAUAGCCGCCCGGCUGUACUGGAUUAAUUCUGAAUUUUCUUUAAAAAAUAGUAUAGCUGUGCGGCUAUACUCGCCACAUUUAUUUUUUUAAAUAGUACAGCUCUGACACGUGGCACCUGUGCGACCAUUUUUUAAUAUAUAAAUUAGUAUAGCCGCACGGCUAUACUUAUUUGAAAAGAAAUUUAUUCUGGAAAUUUUUUCCUAAAAUUUUUAAAUAUAAAAGAAUUUGUUUCUUUNNNNNNNNNNNNNNNNNNNNNNNNNNNNNNNNNNNNNNNNNNNNNNNNNNNNNNNNNNNNNNNNNNNNNNNNNNNNNNNNNNNNNNNNNNNNNNNNNNNNNNNNNNNNNNNNNNNNNNNNNNNNNNNNNNNNNNNNNNNNNNNNNNNNNNNNNNNNNNNNNNNNUUUCUCCAUAGCCCAAGAGCCCUAUCAGUUAGUAAUAGGCCCCAUUACUCGAGUAUCUUUUGAGCCCUUUUUUAUUUUUUACUUUUCCAAAGUUAUUACUCGUAUAAAGAUUUUAUCCCUUUCACGUUUAAUAAUGUAUUAUGCACGUACGUAUGUAUUUCUCAUGACUCAUUUUUUUACAAGAAUUUCAAUAAGACACAAAAUUCACGUAUUAUACACAUAAUUCUAACAUAUUAUUGAAAAAAUCAUAAUAUGUAUUUAAAAAAAUCUCAGUUUUUCCCUAAAAUAGUAUAGCCGUUUGGCUAUACUCGUGUUUUCAAAAUUUUUAACUAAAAAUAGUACAGCCGCCCGUCUGUACCUGUUUGACACGUGGCGCAUGGGCGCUGGGCAGUUGUAUAAAGAGUAUAGCCGCCCGGCCGUACUGGAUUAAUUCUGAAUUUUCUUUACAAAAUAGUAUAGCCGUGCGGCUAUACUCGCCAAAUUUAUGUUUUUAAAUAGUACAGCUCUGACACGUGGCACCUGUGCGUCCUUUUUUAAAUAUAUAAAUAGUAUAGCCGCACGGCUAUACUAUUUGAAAAGAAAAUUUAAUCUGGGAAUUUUUUUCUAAAAUUUUUAAAUAUAAAAGAAUUUGUUUCUUUACCUUUGUUUUUGGCCUACUUCUUUAAUUAAAUAUAUGUAAUUGAGCAAUAUCUUAGCCUUUUUGAAUUACUUUAAUUGAUACUUAUAUUUUAAUUAUUAUUUAAUAUAAGAAAUUAAAGAAAAAGUCCACAAAAUAAUUAAUUUAUGGGUGUUUUAAUUAAAUUUCUCAAUAGCCCAAGAGCCCUAUCCGUUAGUAUUAGCCCAUUACUCGAGUAUCUUUUGAGCCCUUUUUUAUUUUUUACUUUUCCAAAGUUAUUACUCGUAUAAAGAUUUUAUCCCUUUCACGUUUAAUAAUGUAUUAUGCACGUACGUAUGUAUUUCUCAUGACUCAUUUUUUUACAAGAAUUUCAGUAAGACACAAAAUUCACGUAUUAUACACAUAAUUCUAACAUAUUAUUGAAAAAAUCAUAAUAUGUAUUUAAAAAAAUCUCAGUUUUUCCCUAAAAUAGUAUAGCCGUGCGGCUAUACUCGUGUUUUCAAAAUUUUUAACUAAAAAUAGUACAGCCGCCCGUCGGUACCUGUUUGACACGUGGCGCAUGGGCGCUGGGCAGUUGUAUAAAGAGUAUAGCCGCCCGGCUGUACUGGAUUAAUUCUGAAUUUUCUUUAAAAAAUAGUAUAGCCGUGCGGCUAUACUCGCCAAAUUUAUUUUUUUAAAUAGUACAGCUCUGACACGUGGCACCUGUGCGUCCUUUUUUUAAUAUAUAAAUAGUAUAGCCGCACGGCUAUACUAUUUGAAAAGAAAAUUUAAUCUGGGAAUUUUUUUGUAAAAUUUUUAAAUAUAAAAGAAUUUGUUUCUUUACCUUUGUUUUUUGGCCUACUUCUUUAAUUAAAUAUAUGUAAUUGAGCAAUAUCUUAGCCUUUUUGAAUUACUUUAAUUGGUACUUAUAUUUUAAUUAUUAUUUAAUAUAAGAAAUUAAAGAAAAAGUCCACAAAAUAAUUAAUUUAUGGGUGUUUUAAUUAAAUUUCUCCAUAGCCCAAGAGCCCUAUCCGUUAGUAUUAGCCCAUUAUUCGAGUAUCUUUUGAGCCCUUUUUUAUUUUUUACUUUUCCAAAGUCAUUACUCGUAUAAAGAUUUUAUCCCUUUCACGUUUAAUAAUGUAUUAUGCACGUACGUAUGUAUUUCUCAUGUUUAAUACACUCAUUUUUUUACAAGAAUUUCAAUAAGACACAAAAUUCACGUAUUAUACACAUAAUUCUAACAUAUUAUUGAAAAAAUCAUAAUAUGUAUUUAAAAAAAUCUCAGUUUUUCCCUAAAAUAGUAUAGCCGUGUAGCUAUACUCGUGUUUUCAAAAUUUUUGACUAAAAAUAGUACAGCCGCCCGGCUGUACCGACAAAAAAAUAAUUGGGUUUAAUUUAAAUAAUAAUCGGGUUUAAUUUAUUAGUUAUAUGUAUUAAUUAACCAGUGACCCAACUAAGUAGGCAUUUACCCGAAGGGUAUACCCACAAACCACUCAAUUGGGCCACUUGCAUAGCCAAUACAAACUAUUCUAUUUCCAAGAGUAAGUCUUAUAAAAACCUCCCGGAAACUCUAGUAUUCCAAUGUGGGAACUCAAACAUGUUUGCAAUGCCUCUCAAAACUAACAAAACUAUAAAUUACGUUACUGCACACAUUAUUUGUCGUAGAGAAUUGUUGUUCUGGUUGGCAAAGAGAUUGCAAAAUCACCAACUUGCAUUUUUGUUACAAGCAGGUAGAAUGAAAAACCCUGAAUUUAUCACCCAAAUUUCCUCAAUUCUCAAGAAACAGGACCACUUGGUCGUGGUAUAAUUACUAAAACUUAUGAUUUUCCUUUCAUGGCAGAAUACAAAGAGCUCUCAUCUGAUCAGUCCCGAAACUUAUGUCGAUGUACCCUGGCAGAAUACAAAGAGCAUUAAGAGUAAUAGAUUGUUUUAUUUUGUCUGGGAAAGGAAAACUCAAACAUACCUUCUUUUGAUCAUUGGUGAAUCAUAGGCAGUUAGGCUUUUGGCCUGUAAAUGAAUCUAGUAGUGUUGUUUCAAAAUUAUGAUUUCCAUCUGCACUAUGCAGGUUAUUAUGAAGGCUUAAACAUUUGACAGCAUGGGAAGAAAAAUCUACAUGCAAUCCAAGUGCAUAUCUCACCACUCCCUCCCUGGGAUGUGACCAGAACAAAAUUUCAAAGUACAGGGAUCAGCCUUGAGGUAUCAGUUCUGUUUUGUGGUUAUACAAUAUUUACUAUUCAAUAAUUAAUUUCCUUCGAUUUUUGUUCUGGUUUUUGAAUUGAAUUAUUGUGUAGUAAAUAUCAGCGUAUUCAUGAAGAAAAACCAUGGCACCAUAAUUUUUUGUUUAAUAAGUUUCAUAUUAUAACUAGCUUACAGCAAAGCAAGAAAUUAGAGAUGAUAGCAAGGCUCAAUAGCCUCUAGGCUCUACAUUUUGUAGGUUAUUAAGAACAACAACAAACCUAAUAAGAAGGCUCAUGAAGAACCAUCAGGACAGCACCUGGCCUUUUCUUUAUAGAACUUGAUUCACUAAAUUGUCUAAGUUUGCGUAUGAAGAACCAUCAGGACUGAUGGCCUUCUCUGCUAGUUUCUUCCAUUCCAUAGCCUUAGUUCUCAUUUUCUUACCCUUCUCUCCCUCCACUAACUCUUUAAUGAGCUUCUCUACUUGGUCUCUCUAGGCAUCAUUAUUGAUCUCCAACCCAAUGCCCCAUUCAUUGCAAGUAUAAACACAAUUUAUUCGCUGUUCGGCAAAGAAUGGCCAACAAUGCAUAGGAACUCCUGCAGAAAGACUCUCAAUGGUUGAGUUCCAACCACUGUGUGUUAAGAAUCCUCCAAUUGAUGGGUGGCUAAGGACUUGCUCUUGUGGGCACCAGCCUGCUACCAAACCUCUUCCCUUAGUUUCAGCUACAAACUCAGGUGGCAAAAUCGCCGAUUCACCAACUAACGAUCAGGUCUCACUACCCAGAAGAAGGGAAACUUGCUAUUUGCAAGUCCCCAACAAAACUCAAUAAGAUCUUUUGACUUUAUGACCACUAUGCUGCCAAAGUUGACAUAAACAACCGAGUUUGGCAGCUUAGCAUUGAGCCAUUGGAACCAUUCAGUUUCUUCUUUCCAUAGACUAUAUUCCAUGGACUUCAAAGGGUGUUGUGGUAUCUGAUUGAGAAGUAACUGGAGAGGGCCAAUGGUAUAAACAGGUGGAGGCAUUGAUGAGAGAGCAUGCAAAACAUCUGCCUCCAACUCAUCAAAAGUAUGAAGAACAACUGCUGAAGCUUUAUCAACUCUGUCCAUUGCUUCCAAGGUUAAUUUAAACAAGAUGUCAUUGGGGUUUGUAGUUUGAAAGUAAUUUGGGAGAUCCUUUAAACGAAUAGCUUUCGUUCCGGGAACCCAAUCUAUGACCUGGUCCAAAAAGCCAUUUGUUAAAUAGCUCUCAUCUGCAACACCCAAGUCAAGAAAAAUUUCAUCAUCAUUUUUUAAAAGAACAACAAGAAGUUAAGCAAAAAGUUGCUCAACUGCUUCAAUAUUAUGAAUACUUCUUUCACCUUUGAGUGGGGCAAGUCCUUUCUCUGCCAAAGUGGGAUAUUGCUUAAAGCCCAUGAAUCCAAUUGCAGCAAUAGUAAAGAACAGUGCAACAGGGAUUCCAAGUUCUUCAGCAGCUGUGAUGCUGAAAGUCAUGAAACCAUCUGAAACAAUGCAAGUCACUGGAGGAUUACUAAUAUUGUUAGAAGUUGCCAUGUCAUGGAGUUUUAAAAGGAGGUUACGAAAUACUGCCAAGAAAUUUUUUCUGAUGGAAUCGCAAAGCAAAUAGGCGUUUUGGCUGCAUCCUCAUCUGAAGCUGGAAGACCAUCUGGAAUGGUUUCGAAUUGAAAAUCAGGCAAGCCAUCGAGGGAGUUAGGUCCAAGAGAUUUAAGAAAGCGUCAGUGGUUGAACUCUGUGUUAACAAAGGUUAUAUGAAAACCUCUAUGGUGUAGGAGCUUUAAUAAUUUCAGCAUUGCCUUUAUAUGGCUUUGAAUUGCAAAGGGAAUGCAUACAGCAUGAGGCUUAUUGCCUUGUACUUCAAUGGAGCUCAUCUUAGAUUGUGUGUACAGUCAGUGUAUGCACAUAUGAACAAUAUUUGCACUCACAACACAAAUGCAGUAAAACUUUAUAGUUCUAACAACAUUUUCGUCCUUAUCAAACACCAGUUUAGGUCCAAUCUCAUGUCAUAUUCAAUUCAAGAAAACAACAAAUCUUGCAAAUCCGAAACUCAAGCAACCGAGGAAAAACAAGGCAACAAACCACUUGAGCACGACUCUUUUCCCUUAUACUAGCCAUGCAAAGAUAGAGGAGAGAUAGAGGACCACCACCACCAUUUUAUAGUAAUUUUGUUGUCACCAUCCAUUUUUUUUCAAUAGCGGCUAAAAUAUUUUUGUCAGAAUCUUCAGCUCAUUGGGACAAAUUUUUUAUUUUUUUAUUUGAUUUUUUAUGUUUGGUGUUAAGACAAAGUCAAGAACCACCAACUAACAAAUAAUAUAGAAAAAAACAGCAAAUGGCAGACAACCUCAAAGCACCAAGAGAUAUCAUUAAAUAUAUAUGACGAUCACCAUUAUUUGUUUGAAUUAUGUAACAUGUGCUUGUUUGUAACUAUAAAAACGUAAUCAAUCAAAAGCUACAAAGAAAGCCACAUGAAAAUAUUAAAAAAUGAAACGAGGGCAUACAAAUUUAGGUCCUAUCUCAUAUUAUAUUCAAGAAAACAACUAAUCUUGCAAAGCCAAUCCAAAACUCAACCAAUCAAGAAAAAACCACUUGAGCACGAAUCUGUUCUCCUUUCCUAGUCAUUGGAUUCCGAGCUUUUGCAUUUAGGGUGUGUAUUUAAUUGGGAUUUUAAAAGAUUAUUUUGGGAUAAAUAAGUCUUGUGGUAUUCAAUUAAAACUUUUAAAUGAUCUAAACAAGUCUUGUGGUUUCCAUUAAGACUAUUAGGAUUUUUAAAAGAGAGUGGCCAAAUCUAGUGGUAUUCAAUCAAGACUUUAAACAAGUAACAAAAAGUUUUAUGGUAUUCAAAACUUGCUAAUUUCGAGAGUUUUUUUUUUUAAAUGUGGAAUUCUGUGAGAUUUUUUAGUGGGAAGUAUAAAUACCAAACCAUAUCUCAAAUCCCACCCUAACCCAUCAAAUUUUUCAUGUGAGAGUUUUUUUGUCCUUUCUUCCUUCAAAACGUGUUGUUUGUUGCCAGUAAUACCAAUAACAUGGUGUGGAGCUAAACUUAUGAUUUUCCUUCUUCCUUUCAUGAGAACUCUCAUCUGAUCAGUCUCGAAUUUUUUUUACUUUUUAUUUGAAGGGUUGCAACAGUGGAGGCAGAUCACUUAAAAAUUGUGUUGAUAUUCUCAAUGAAGUAAGUUUUUCUAGUACUGGCCUGCCUUUGUUUAUCAGUUAAUUAUAGGCUUAUUUACUAUAGAACCUCCUGAAACUUCAGUCAAAUCUCAGUUAAUCCCCCCAAAGUUAAAAUGGCCCACUUAACCCCCUUGACCUUGGUUUUGUAUUCCACUCCCCCCACCCCACCGUUAACGCCAUCCAAAAGACAGUAAAAACAAAGCUGAUGUGGCAGGGGUAUAUUAUGGUAAAAGCACCCACAAUGGCCAAUUGCUGACCGUAGUCAGCAUCCUACAUGGCAUAGUGGACUCCACAGGCGUUGAAAAUCCUAAUCUAAGUGACUGAAUAGGGUGAAGCGGACCCCAGAUAACAAUAUUUUCUCUUCUUCUUCGAUAAUAGAGUUUCUAAACCCAGAAAAAUCACUUCCCACCAUUUGAAGGAUUUGAGGUUCCCCAGAGAAAAAUCUCUUAAUCUUUCUUCGAUUAAAGGGUGUAAAGAUGAGGAAAAAACCUCCACGAGGAGAAGAGCUGGCCAUUGCUGCACCUCAUUGCUAUUGUGGGAGGCUUGCUAGGCUGCAGACUUCUUGGACAGAGUCCAACCCAUUUCGGAGGUUAUUUGUGUGUCCAAAGUCAAAGGUAGGUUUUGAAUUUGCUAUUUUAUCAAAAAUUGGACAAAAAAUUGUGAGAAUGUGAUGGAAUUGUUGUUUGAAUGCAGAGGGGGAAAAACGAUUGUGGGUUUUUUUUAUGGGUUGAUAUUGAAAUGCAUCCCCGUGAGAGAGCUGUGAUGGCUUGGCUGCUGAGGAAAAAGAGAGAAGUUGAAGAUCAUAUUGGGCGUGCGAGAGCAAGAGAGAAGAAGUUGUGGAUUGCUCUGUUUAUUUCUUAGGCCUUUGUGUUUAUGGUUUGGUUUGGCAAUGUUGUGUAAUGUAAGUUAGGCAAUUGGUAUGUUUGAAAGUUAGGCAAUGUGGUAUGUGUGAAAGUUAGGUAAUGUUGUGUAAUGUACCUAGUUGAAUGGCAAUUUAGGGAGAUGAGAGUCUUAUGUAAAGGCUGUAGCAUUUUUGCAAAUGUAAUGGUUUCAAAGCCCUUUUGUAAUGGUUAAGACUAAACACUUUUAUAAGCACCACUAAUUCUUGAAAGCUUUUCAACUGCCAUUGAUUAAUAACUUUGUACAUAAAUUGUACAUAGUCUUGUACAUAACUCAAAAGACUUUCUAAGCACAUGUUUAAACAAUGGCAAGGCCAAAACAAAAUACGUGUACACUGAAUAUGCACCUAUUUAAUCCAUGACAAUGCCAAAUAAUUUGUAUCCAAAAACAAAGUAGACAAUAAAAUACCAAACAGACAGUUUCUACCCAAAAACAUAUAUGUUCACCAAGACACAACAAAACAUCAAAAUAGAGGAGAGAUUUUCAAUAUCUCCAUAGCUUAAACUUUGCCAAGAAGCCUUUCUUCUUAGUUGGAGACUUAAACCUAAAUUUGUUAAAUAACCCGCACACUAGAUCUUGUUCUUUGAUGUAACCAACGGCAAUAGACUAAACUAGCAAAUUGAGAAAACUUAGAAACACACAGUUGUGAUUUCUCUAGGUAGAGAAAUCACUGCUUCUUUGAUUAAUAAUAGAGAUUACUGAACUUUUUCAACCCUAGAACUAAUCUCAAAACUCUCGACUGUCUCUGGCUGUUUUUUCUCUCUAAAAUAAGCCCUGCCGCACCCUAUUUAUAGAUAUAGAGUUGGCUUACAUGUCCCAAGGUGGAUUGAAUUCCUAUUCCUAAGUGGAUUAGGAAAUUACACUUAUCCAAAUCCUAAUAGACUUCUAGAAAUCCAAACCAAAAUUGAAUAAGGAAAACUGAAAUUCUUUCCUAAUCCCUCUAGGACAAGAAUUGGUAUACCUCUAAUUUUCCUAAAACAAUCCUAAACCAACUAGGACAUAUUUGACGAGCCAAAAUCCUAACAAUCUCCACCUUGGUGAGUCAAACCAAGUCUUGAUCGUUGCACCCCAAAGUAUCUUUGAACCUCCUUGAAGCAGCUCUAGAAAUCUUCAAGAGUCUUCACCUUGGUAAUCUUCUUCUUGCCUCAUUGCACCUCAAGUGAGGAGGUGCUCUACUUUAAUCAAUCAACUAGAUUGAUCAAGUUCAAGCAAUGCUUGAACUUCUUGGCUAGCACUAUCUUUGUAAGGAAAUCUGUGGCGUUGUCAUCCGUAUGACUCUUUUCAAUCCAAAUCUCCUUAGACUCCACCCAAUUUCUGAUUUUGUGAUAUCUUGCUUCAAUGUGCUUUGAUCUUCCAGAAAAAACUUGAUUCUUUGCCAGGUGAAUGGCACUUUGACUAUCACACUUUAGCUUCACACAAUCUUGGGUGAUUCCCAUUUGACUUACCAAGCCAUUAAGCCAAAUUGCUUCCUUUCUAGCUUCGGCCAAUGCAAUAUACUCUGCCUCUGUGGUCGACAAAGCUGUAAUUGGUUGUAGUCAUGCCUUCCAACUGAUCGGUCCUCCUGCGCAUGUAAACACAUAACCAGAAGUUAACCUUCUCUUGUCCGAGUCCCUUGCAUAAUUAGCAUCCACAUAUCCCAACACCCUUGCAUUUUCUUUUUGCUUCUCAAACAUAAUCCUUUGUCGCCAAGAACCCUUCAAACAACACAAAAUCCACUUGACUACAUCCCAAUGUUGCUUUCCUGGAUUUGCCACGUAUCUGAAAACGACACUGAUUGCUUGAGCUAUGUCGGGACGUAUGCAUACCAUUGCAUACAUAAGGCAGCCCACGACAUUAACAUAAGACAUCUUCUUCAUUACUUGCUGCUCUUCCUCGAACUUAGGACACUGUUGCCCACUUACCUUGAAAUUAGCUGCCAAAGGAGUCGAAACUACCUUUGCUUCUUGCAUGUUGAACUUCUCAAGAACCUUCUGAAUAUAAUUGGCUUGUGAUAUCCAUAUCCUUCCAGCGGUCAUAUCUCUCUGAAUUUCCAUGCCAAGGAUCUUCUAUGUUGCACCUAGAUCCUUCAUGUCGAACUCCUCGCUCAACAUCUUCUUCAAGUCUUGAAUUCUAGACUUGUCUUGACAAGUGAUUAGCAUGUCAUCCACAUAUAGCAAUAGAAAUAUGAUCAUCCCAUGUUGGAAUACAUGAUAGUACACGCAACAGUCAUAUAAACAUCUUCUAAAAUUGAUUUUCAGCAUGAAGUAAUCGAACCUCUUGUACCACUGUCUUGGAGACUGUUUUAGGCCAUAUAAGGACUUCCUUAGCUGACAUACUAGGUUUUCUUUCCCAUAUUCAACAAACCCUUCUGGUUGAGCCAUGAAAAUUGUCUUAUCUAGAUCCUCAUGAAGAAACACUUUCUUCACAUCCAUCUGCUCAAUCUCCAUGUCAUGCUGAGUUGCCAUUGCUAAAAGCAAUUUGAUAGAAGUAUGCUUGACUACGGGUGAAAAGAUCUCAUCAUAAUCCACCCAUUCCUUUUGUGAGUACCCUUUAUCCACGAGCCUUGCUUUGAAUCUCACGGCAUCUUGUUCAUGUAGUCAUUCCUUUUUCCUAAAUACCUACUUGCAUCCAACUAGCUUUCUGCCUUUGGCUUAGGAACCAACUCCCAAACAGAGUUCUUGUAAAAAGACUCCAUUUCUUCUGUCAUAGCACUUAUCCAACUAUCUCGCUCAUCACUUGCUAUAGCUUCUCGAUAAGUAGUUGGAUCUUCUUGACUAAUGUUGAGAGCAUAAUUAACUUCAUCUAGGUUAAACCCAAACCUGUCAGGUUUCUUCUUGUUCCGAUUAGGUUUGUCCAGUGCUAUGCAUCUCUGGAAUACAGGUGGAUUGUUGGUUGGAGUUCGAACCCUUUGGGAUAUCUGGAGGAUUAUAGUGCCUUCAAUCUGCCCUGUUUCUUGCUCCACCUGAUUCUUAACUGGUGAACAAUGUUGAUGCUCUUCUUCUUCCUCAAAACCAUCAGAUUCGACAUCUUGCUCAAUUUGCUCCACCUGAGCUUCUUCUUCAUCUGAACUGAUUAACGGAAUCUUUGUUGCUUCAAUUUCAGCAUCGUAUUUCUUAUCCCUACUGCUCUCGACUUUAUUCAGAGGCAUGGUUGUCUUAUCAAAGACAACAUCUCGGCUAACAACUUUUUUCCUGUUGUUGAUAUCCCAAAGCUUGAAACCCUUCACUUCUUUCUCAAAACCUAAGAAUAUGCAAUGUGUAGACUUUGGUUUGAGCUUGGACCUUUCAUCACUUGGAAUAUGUGCGUAAGUACUACAGCCGAAUACCCUGAGCUUGGAAUAGUCCACCGGCUUCUCAUACCAUACCUCUUCUGCACUCUUAAAACCGAUAACUGUAGAUGGUGAUCUAUUAAUCAAAUAACUUGCAUGAUUAACAGCCUCUGCCCAAAAAAUAUUGGGCAAUCCUGUAUGAAAUCGCAUGCUCCUCUCUCUCUCACUCUCUCUCCUCUCUCUCUCUCCAUGAGAGUUCGGUUCAUCCUCUCAACAGCUUCAUUUUUGUUGGGGAUUCUUCUUUACCGUGAAGUGCCUUAUGAUGCCUUCUUGCUUGCGGUAAUCGGUAAACUCAUUACUUGUAUAUUCACCUCCAUUGUCACUUCUCAGGUACUUGAUCUUUCUUUUAGUUUGAUUCUCGGUUUCUGUUUUCCAUUCCUUGAACUUUGCAAAAACCUCAGAUUUCUGCUUCAUGAAAUAAACCCAAACCUUCCUAGAAAAAUCAUCCAUGAAAGUAACAAAAUACAUGGCUCCACCAUUUGAUUUGGUUGGUACAAGGCCCCAAUCUGAGUGAAUAUAACUGAGCUGCUCCUUGCUUCGGUUAUCUGCACUGAUACUCGUGAAUGAUACCUUUCUUUGUUUUCCAAGAACACAAUAUUCACAAAAGUCUAGUUUGCAAGAUGACACGCCUUCUAACAGGCCUUGCUUGUGUAAUUCUUACAACCCUUUCUGGCUUAUGUGCCCGAGCUUAUGAUGCCAAAGUUCAGUCUUGUCUUCUAUACCUUGAUUUACAGAAACAGCUGCUCCCUCAACUAUAGUGGUCCCAAUUAACUUAUACAGCUUAUUGGGUUUUACGUCACCCCGCAUUACCACCAAUGAUCCUUUGGCUACCCUGAGUCUUCCCUUUUUAGACUCGUACCCAUAGCCGGCCUCAUCUAAAGUACCCAAGGAAAUCAAAUUCUUUCUUAGUCUAGGGACAUAUCUAACGUUCCCCAAAACUCGUAUCAUCCCAUCAAACAUUCUGAUUCGAACAGUGUCGAUUCCUUUAACAGGACAUGAAGAAUCGUCCCCCAUUAAAACUUCCUCGCUGUUGACUUCUUUGUAAGUAUCGAACCAUUCUCUUACUGCACACAUAUGAAAAGUGCAUCCGGUAUCCAAAAUCCAAUUUGUGAAAGCCUUGGAGCCUAAUGUUACUGAAAGAAGCUCCCCAUCACUCUCAUUCUCGGUGACUACACUAGCUGAACCUGAGCUUUCUUCCCUCUUGGCUUUCUUCUCUUUCCAAAUCUUGCAGUUCCUCUUCCAAUGAUUGGUUGAACCACAUUCGAAGCAACCUUCCUUCUUUUCCUUUUUCUUCUUAGAUUUUGACCUACCUCUGUUGCCUGUUUUCUCUUUCUUUGUCUUUUUCCUCCCCCUCUCCUUGCCUUUGGCAUAAAGGCCUUGAGAUCUUUCAAUUAUAUCAUCUAGUUUAGCUUAUGACUGAAGAGCUUGAAUUACGUCUUCAAGCUUCAGGGACUCUUUUCCAAACAUUAGAGUUGUUCGAAAGUGCUUGAAAGACGAAGGUAGAGACUUCAGCAAGAUGAUAGCCAUAUCAUCAUCUUUGUAAGUUUCUUGGACCUUUUGAAGAUUAGUUAUGCAAUUUUGGAACUUGCAUACGUGAUCUUCAAUAUCACCUCAUUCUUCCAGUCGAAGUCCGAAUAGUUCAUCCUUGAGAAAAAGUUUAUUGGACACGAUUUUUCCAUAUAAACAUUCUCCAACUUUUCCCAUGCUUCAUGGGCAGUCAUCUUUUCGGUGACGUGUGACCGAACUGAUCUUGUGAGAUGGAUCUCGAUGGAACUCUUGGCCUUCUUGAGAACCUUAGUCCAUGCUGCGUCUUUCAUGCUUGCUAGUUUCUCAUCGUUGAGUGCAUCAUCCAAAUCUUGUUGUAUCAGUAUGUUCUUCAUCAUCAUUUGCCAGUCCGUGAAGUUAUCCUUGCCGUCAAAGGGCUUUAACGCAGGUCCUAGAUCCGCAUUCAUCUUCCCUUUAGACAUCAUAAAACCCCUUGAGCCAAGCUCUGAUACCAAUUGUUAAAUAACCUGCACACUAGAUCUUGUUCUUUGAUGUAACCAACGACAAUAGACUAAAUUGGAAAAUUGAGAAAACUUAGAAACACACAAGAAUUAUACUGGUUCGGCAUAAAUUUUGCCUCCAUCCAAUUGUGAUUUCUCUAGGUAGAGAAAUCACCGCUCCUUUGAUUAAUAAUAGAGAUUACAGAACUUUUGCAACCCUAGAACUAAUCUCAAAACUGUUGGCUAUCUCUGGCUGUUUUUCCUCUCUAAAAUAAGCCAUGUCGCACCCUAUUUAUAUAUAGAGAGUUGGCUUACAUGUCCCAAGGCUGAUUGAAUUUCUAUUCCUAAGUGGAUUAGGAAAUUACACUUAUCCAAAUCCUAAUAGAUUUCUAGAAAUCCAAACCUAAAUUGAAUAAGGAAAACUGAAAUUCUUUCCUAAUCCCUCUAGGACAAGAAUUGGUAUACCUCUAAUUUUUCUAAAAUAAUCCUAAACCAACUAGGACAUAUUUGACGAGCCAAAAUCCUAACAAACUUUCCUUUGUGAGGAAACUUGUAAAGGCCGAAACGAAUUUGGUUCUUAGGAUUGGGAGGCUUGUUCAAACAGAGCAGCUUGUGAUGCUUGUUCAAAUUGAGAAGCUUGAGAGGCUUGUUCAAACUGAGAAGCUUGAGAGGCUUGUUCAAACUGAGAUGCUUGAGAUGGUUGUUCAAACUGAGAUGCUUGAGAUGGUUGUUCAAACUGAGAAGCUUGAGAUGGUUGAGCUGGUUGGUGAGAUGGUUGAGGAGCUUGGUUAGACUGAGAAGAUGCUUGGUGAUGAUUGGUCCUUUUUUUUUAGCCUUUGAUAUGAUCUGAAAAUUGUGGCAGAGUUAGAUUAACAUACCUAUUUUUGGAUUAAUAUCUACAUAUGAAGAGUUCCAUAAUGCUACUUAAAUAAAAGAAACUCAACUUACUGGUUGUUUUUGCCUUGAUUGUGUAGAAGAUGAUGCUUGUUUCUGCCUUGAUUGUCUUGUAAUUCUCUGAGUUGAUGCGUUGCCUUAAUGUGUUGUCUUCUUUUGCCUUUGUGAUGGUACCUGGCCAACAAACAUCAUUGAGAAAUACAUAUUAGAAUGCCAAAUACUUAAAAUUACUUGUCUUCGUAGCUUCCUGGAAACUCUUCCUAGCCUUAUUAGGCACUUGCCCUUACUUAGCUGUCAAUAUUUUUUUUUGGAAUUCCUUGGUGUGCGUAGCAUUCAUUCUCCAUGCUUCUCAGCUGGAUUAUCAGCAUUAGUUCUAGCAGGGUGAUCAACAUUCAAACCAUUAGCAGUAACUCGAGUGGUGACCCCCAUAUUCUCCACAACAACUGUAUCUGCUGCUUGAGCCUUGACUUUAAUAAUAAUUGGGCAGGUGUCUCUACCAUGCCCACAGAAAGCACAUUCAAAGAAAACCAAUUAGAUUCCCUCAUACACCACCCCGUAUGUACGACCUUCUACCUUAAUGAAAGGGGUGAGUGGUUUAGACAGAUCAAGCUCACACACUCUGGUAAACUUACCUCUAGCUUGACUCAUUGUGUGUGGAUCCACCUUCAAAGUAUUGCCUAUCAGAUUCCCAAUCUUUUCCAUAACAUCAACUUUAAAGUACUCCACAUUCAGGCUAUUCAUUCGAACCCAUGUAUUCAUGUAGGUAAUUUUUUUCCUCGGAAUCAAAGCCAGGCUUCCACUUCUGGGUUACCAGAUACUACCCAUCUAUUUGCCAAGGGUCACCAGUGAGAACAUAAUUCAUAUCCUCCACUAGCAAGAAUUUUACAACAUAGUAGUUGUUCUCAAGAUCAAUUAAGCUCAUUGGCCUUUAAGAGCCCAUCUCUGGAGCAACCUGGCCCUAAAAAACGUGUAGGACACAGGGCAAGUCAUAUGCUUGAUAAUUAUACCAUUUCGCCAGGGAUGGUAUAAACACUCACUGAUUCUGUCUGAAAAGUGGAUUUAGGGAAUUUUCCCUUGCUUUGUAAUAAAAUCGUCCUCUCCGAUCUCCAUACGAUCCUCAGCCAUACCAAAAUCACAAGCUACCUCGUCUUUGAAGCUCAUUGGAAUAUGAGGCAACGAUGGGGGGUUCAUCAGCAUUGGGUCCACCACCAUCUAGGGUCUUGGGUGCGAGCUUGCUUCCCUCUUAGGGGUGCCCAACCAAACCAGAUCCAUCCCCACCCACAGAAAAUAUGAACUUCGGCAUUGCUGCUACCACCAAGAGUGAUGGUAGCAGUCGCAUACUAAGGAAAGCAUAAGGGAGAGAGAGCACACUUUCCUGAGACUUUGACGGCUUAGAUGUUCUUUGAAAUAAGUUCAAUAAUUAUUUUUUUUUCCUAAAGUGAUCAAAAAUAAUAAACUCAUGGGAAUAUAUUCAAAUAAUAAACUCUUGAUAAAUUACUGAUUAUCAACUCUUCUAUUUUUUUAUAUUAUCUAUUAGGAAAUAAUAAACUCAACAAAAUACAGUUCUAAAAAAUAACAUAAGAAAUCACUAAAAUGCAAAAGACAAGGGUAAAUGCAAAAGAAAAACACACAACUACAUUUAAAGCUUUGCGGGACGAAGAGGAUUUCAUCGCGCAGAGUCACAUGUAGUCGCACAAAUUUCAGCGCGACAAAAAAUUCGUCCCGCACAAGCCGUUGCGCAAGGAGCGUGAAGAAAGACUUUGCGCCUAAACCUUUGAUGCAACGAUGGUUAACCCCGUCGCUCAGUUUUGCGCGACCAAGUUUCUGCAUUGGUCGCGCAAAACUGAGCGACGGGGUUAACCAUCGUUGCAUCAAAGGUUUAGGGACGACACAGUUGUGUGUUGCACAAACCUUUGCGCGACGAAACCAUAUUCGUCGCAGGUAUAUUUGAGCGACGACGAGUAUUGCGCGACGAAGCAUUCAUUCGUCGCACAAAAUAUUUUCACAAGACGAAUAUCUUCGUCGCAUGUAUAUUUGAGUGACGAAGAGUAUUGCUCAAUUAAACAUUUGUUCGUCGCGCAAGAUGUUUUCGCGAGAUGAAUAUCUUCGUCACGCAAGAAUAAAUAUAUGUAAUUAAAAUGUUAUUUUUAGUUUUUUUAUUUUGUAAAAUGUGAAUUUGCGUGACGAAAAAUAUUUCGUUGCGCAAAAGUAAUAUAUAUUAUUUAAAUUUAAUAUUACGUUUUUUUUAAUUUUGUAAAAAAAUAAAUUUGGUUUUUUUUUUGUUGUGGUAAAAAAAUGAAAUUGCAAUCACAAAAUGAAUUGAAGAGAACAAAAAAUUAUAUAAAAUAAAAUAAAGUGUUACAAGAGAAAUGUUUAAAAUAUAAUUAUAAAAAUAAAAAACUAAUCAAAUAAUGUUCCAAAAUCUACUUGGGCGUCAGGCAUAUACAACUCGGAGAUUUGGGGGUCCAUAGGGGUAGUGGUCUGGCGGGCAUGCUUGAGGUGGACGGGCUCGGAGGUCGAUGCAUCAAAUUGCCGGACUAGAAUGCCAGACCACGUGAGGGACUGCAGAAUCACCGAUAUCUGACCCUCAAGCUCGGCCACCUUUGCUGUCAAAACAGUCACCUGACUGUUUGACUGCGCUGAUGAACGGGGUCUAGGUUGCCUCCGCCGGUCAUUCCCCAUCCCUCGACAAUAUGUCCCUGGCCUCCUCCCGAGAGUUUGAUCCAACGUCUCCGUCAAGAUCUGAAAUCCAACAUCCUGUGAAGGAUCCACAGACUCGAUCGGAGUCUCAGGAAGAAGUUGGGAGGCGGACUCCUGAAGAACCAACUGGCACCUCUCAACCAUCGUCGUCUGUUUAACAUAACAUAAAAUAUAAAUUGAAACAUGCAUAUAAUUGAAUGCGUAACAUAAGAAUUAAAAUUAAAUAAUACUUACAUGAAGAGACUCGGUCAACUCAUUCCCAGGUCGAACAUAAACGUCGCCGAAGACCUGGGAAUUUGGACCCCCCUUAAAUUGAACAAGAGAAAAAAAAUAUUAGUAUGAAAAAAAUAAAUUAAUUAUAAUAACAUAUUAAAAAUUAAAUAUAAAUUAUUUUCUUAUUAUCCGCCGUCGUGCAUCCAUCCUAUAUGAGAAGGGCCUAGAACCAGAAUGGUGGAGAAGAGUCUUCUUCUUCCUAUUGCCCUUAUUGACUUGGGCUUUAUUCUGUUAUACAAAAAAUAAAACGUAUUAGUUGAAAUAUAAAAAAUUAAAUAAUAAUGAAAUAUAAAAAAUUAAAUAAACAUUAGUAAGAAAUAUGUAAUAAUUAAACAAAUAUUAUUAAAAAAUACAACAUAAUCGGGUGCCUGAAAAUGAGCGCAGAGCCAUGCCCAACUAUCCUCCCCCCACCCUCAAGCUCCUUCGAGCAACUCUCCUGAAGAGCGACUUGCGGAUCAUCAAACGCCUGAAAAUGGUGGUGCAAGUCACUCUUUCACUGCUUGUACCUCUCAGCGAAGAGUCUGUUGACGUAUGCCAACAACUCACCGUCGAGGUCCUCUAAGUUGUAGUUCGUCUGCAAUAAAUUAAUUACAUACAUUAAGUAAUAGAAAUAUAUAAAGUUUUUUGAAAGAAAAAUAAUUAAAAGGUAGGAUACAUACCGACAACUGGCCGCAAACCUCCAUCUUCAUCUUAUCAGGCAUGACCUUCCAAAACUUCCAUUGCCUCUGGCAAUAGGUCCGAACGACGUGGCCAAUGUCGUGGGCCAAGGAGCUAUGCAACUCCGUCGCCAGUGUAGCCCGACGGCGCUCGUCGUAUCCAAUGCUGAUAUGACUGUUGGUCACCCGGGUGACCUUCGCCGUCUUCAGCUGUCGACACGGCCCUCAAGUGUUCUUCUUGGCUGCAAAGAAAUAUGACAUUAAUGUUAAAUAAAUAACAAAUUUAACUAUAAAAUUCACAAUACAAAAAAUAAAAUAAAAAAGAACUGGAGUUGAAGAAAAUCUAUACCUGGCUGUGACCCUGAGGCACCAGUACCGUCGGUCGAUGUGGUGUUGGUGGUGCUGGGGGGCCGGUGCUGCCGCCUAGCGCUAACAAGCUACUCUAUUGAUGAAGCUGAUGACGCAGGCGCCUGGGACCCCCUAGACCAACUGGCAAGUGGUCCAUCAGUGCUAAAACAGUGGCAGUAGAUGCCGGCUGGGCCGGGGGCUCCGAACUCGGUGCAGUCGUCAUCGACCUACGACGUCUAAUUAGGUUUAACAUCUGCACAAUUUCAUUAAUAUACAUACAAAUUAAUCAAAUUUACGAAUAUAUAAGUGUAAGCACAUACAAUUUCAUUAAAAAUUUUAACUAAUUAAUUAAAAGCAUAACUUGACCUAGAGUUUGGAUUUCGGAGUAUCCGGGACUCUGAUCCACAAUCCGUUGAAUCCUGCACGAUCCUAGAAAUACAAGGUACAACAUAAGUGAGUUUGAGUUUGAUCCAACGGUCCUAACAUAUCAAACCUGGAAAUCGCACAAUAGGCGAAAUCCGUUCAAGACUCAAACGGUAACCAAAUUCAAAUCCGAGCACACCUACGCGCUCGUGAUAAAUAGGGGAUUGCACUGGGACCCAAAGCCCCACUGCCACAGUCUCCCACGAGCCACCACACGCGUUGGCAGCGUGUGGGUGUCCAAAGCGAUAACAAUCGCCGAAAAAUUCUAAAAACUAAGGGCCAAGGUUCCUAUCCUAGGUUCAAAAUAUCAAUUGGAGUCACUUUUAUUCUCGGAUCUACCCCAAAAAAUGACCAAAAGUGGCUGAAAUUUAAAUUCAAAAACCAGCCAAAACCUAGGGUUUAAAUUCCAGAAACCUAUUGCGACAAUUAACCAAAUCCUACCCAACCAUCAGCUAGAGCACGAAAAAUAGUCCAGAAACCAUACCUCAGGUGUCAGAUUUGGUGGCCGGAGGAGAGAGAACAAGGCCGGCGAAGACUCUGUCAAACCUAGCAAUAUCCGGCGGUAGGCUCGACGGUGACGGUUCUGGGCUUCGAAGGUUGUGGCGGCCCGAUCCUUUUCCCGGCGGAGCAAUGGGCUGAGGUGACGGUGGAGAGAGAGGCAGUUUAGGGCAGAGAGAGGAAGUGAGGAAGAAAGGAGGCUGUCGCGAUUUUUCUGAAAAUUUAACUGAUCUUGUGCGACGAAGAACACAAUGUGUCGCGCAAGGUAUGUUUAAUAAACCUUGCGCGACGGAAAAAAAACAAUGACGUCGCGCAAGGUAGUUUUCCGCUCAAAUUUUCAUUGCAUUGCGCAACGAAUAAGAAAAACCGUCGCGCAAGGUGCUUAUUCCACCAAAAAAUUUGUCACCUUGCGCGACGAGUGAACAAAACCGUCGCGCAAGGUGCUUAUUCCGCCAAAAAUUUUGUCACCUUGCGCGACGAGUGGACAAAACCGUCGUGCAAGGUUGUUAUUCCAUCAUAAAUUUUUGGGUUUAGGGUUUAGUGAAGGGUCUGAUCAUUUUGCGUGACGAAAAGACUCUAUCAUAGCGCAAGAUUGUGUAAAACCCUAAACCUUAAACCCUAAAUUAAUAAACCUUGCGUGACGUAGAAGACAUUGUGCGCAGGGACGGAUCCACAUAGGAGCAAGGGUGGUCAAUUGACCCCUGCAACUCCAAAAUCCGCCACUAGAGGAAGAAAAAUUGACCCCUGCAAUGGCUGGAUGGCUGGGCAAUUCAUGCCCGCCAUCUGUUCGAGGAAAUGCCUCAAAGGGUUGCAGCAACUUCAACUUCAGCGCAGCAAGAAGGAGUGCACGCAGAGCGCUUCCUUUUUUUCGUCCAAAAGUCCCUCUUCCUAAAGUGGAUAUCAGCUUCUUGCUCUUUGCAAAGGGUGGUUUGGGAGAACAGUGUCAUUGGGAAAAUCAAAGCUUUGCCGUCGAAUUUUACCAUGUGCAUCUUUCAGAACAAGGUUGCCAGAAUUAAAAAGCUCUGCUCUCUCAACAUCAAGGCUACUGGAGUUGGUGCUGGUCUGCCAGAUAGUUGCGCCAUCCACAUCGGUCUCAAGACCAAUGAGCCAUCUUUUCGAAGCGAAACUCUGGCGCCAAGGCUAUUGACAGUUUUGUCUCUGUUAGCCAUCCAAACAACUGUUCUGCUUUUAGAGUUUGUGAACCCACAUGUGAAAGACUCAUCUGGGGAAGUUACUUGAUUUAAUAUGUGUUUUCUCAAUUGUUUUCUCAAUGAAUUAUAUAUGAAUGAUAAUUUAUCGUUUUAUUUUUAUGGGAUGAAUAUUGAUGUUUUUCUUGAUUAGUUGUUGAGGUUUUUUAUUUUAUUUUUUUCCAAGGAUGUUUAAUUUUGUUUUGUUACCUUUAGUUUGAAUAAAGGAUUUCUUAAUAAUAAAAAUAUUUAUGGGUAUAUUUUGUAGAAAUUUUUUUUAACCUUUUAAAAGUUGACCCCCGGAGGAAAAAUUCCUGGAUCCGUCCCUGAUUGUGCGUCACGCAAAUCUCUGGCAAAGUAAUAUUUUAAAUUGAAAUUGAAAUUUUUUUUAUACAUUCUUAUACAUAUUAUUAAUAGAGUAUAUUAUUUUUUUUAAAAUAUAAAAAUGCCCAGAAAAAUAGACUUUAUUAAAAAAUAAUAAACACCAUAAGAAUAUUUUAAAUUUUUUUUAUACAAGGAAAAAUACUCUAAUUCAAUUUGCUAGCUGUGCCCAGUUAGAUUUCUCAUAAAUGGCCAGUACACUUUUAGCCUUCCCUUCACCAAAACGUAGACCAUUACAAACCUGGAUAGAACCAAAAGAAAUGCAAAAUCAAAAUUGGGCAAGAGUCUUAAUAUAUGCCAUAAAAAUUAAAAAUUAAAAAAUUAAAAAAUUUAGGGUUUUUUUAAAAGCUGUGCACUUGUAUGACUUAAUAUAUGCCUUAUCUUUUUCCUAAAAAGAUAAACCCUAAAUUUUUUAUUUUAAAAAAAAAUAUACUCUAUUAAAAAAUAAUAAACACCAUAAGAAUGUUUUAAAUUUUUUUUAUACAAGGAAAAAUACUCUAUUAAAACAAUAAACACCUUCGUACAAAGAAAAUCACAAUGAUCAAACUUUAAUUAACAAAUCAACUACCAAUAAUAAAAGUGAUCUCAAGUUCAAGUUAUAAAACGAAGGGUUAAUACUUUUUUAGUUAUUUUCAUACUCCAAUCUCACUCAUAUGAUCUCAUCUCAUCUCAAAGGCUUCUCUUCCUUGAACACGCAGCUUCACUCAACCCACUUGAACCCAAGAGUAACCACCAUUAAUUUGAACCACUACAACCUCCACUGCUUCAAUCAAACCCAUUCUCUCACAUCGCAGAAACCUCAUCGACUCGAUUACGCUUGGAUACUCACGUAACUUGAUCUAGUAACCGAACCUAAUCCAAGAGUAUUGAGUACACCUUUAUGUAGACAAUUAUAUUAAACUAAUAUUUUAAAUUUAAAUUGUAUAUCCAUUUUUUAAAUAUAUUUGAAUAUCACUUAUUAUUAUUCUAAUAUACCAAUUUUAUUUUUAUUUUAAAAAGGCCACUUGGAAUGUGGAUGCAUUGUGGGUUAAAUCACAAAUAGGGUCAACACUUUAUUUAUGAAAUUGUGAUUUAUAAAUAUGUUUUGCGCGACGAAUAUCUAUAAUUUCGUAGCGUAAAGAAGUGUUGCGCAACGAUACGAAUAUUUCGUCGCGCAAGGUUGUAUUUUCACUAGGAAAUUAUCGCAACUUGUGCGACGUAAAUGUUAACUUCGUUGCGCGAUGAAGUAUGUCUUUCGUCGCGCACCUUGCGCGACGUACAAACUGCAGUGACGUCGCGCAAACCAUUUACUUUCUCGCGAAACGAAUUUUCGUCGCACAAGUUUUAAACUAUAAAUUAAAUAUCACGAUUUCUAGUAUAUUAGGACACUUUGCACGACGUACAAACUGCAGUGACGUCGCGCAAACCAUUCGCUUUCUCGCGCGAUGAAAAUAUUCGUCGCGCUUUUAAACUAUAAAUUAAGUAUCACGAUUUCUAGUAUAUUAUGACACCUUGCGCGACGUGGAUGUUCUCAUUACGUCGCGCAAACCUCUUGCAAUGUUUUUUUUUUAAGUUAAUUUUUUUAUUUUCUUUAUUUUAAAUAAUUAUUAUAAAAAUUACAGAUGUUACCUUAAUGAACUUAAGUUUAAUAUGAAUUACGAAAAAAAUUCAAAGAUUUCGGUACAAUUGAAAAGUUAAAUGUUUAUAUUUUAAAUUUGAAUUAUUAUUUUAUUCUCCAAUGUGAGACUUAAUUUACACAUUAUAGUUUGUAUAAUAGUUUAAUGCUUGAUUAAAUCAUUAAAUAAGACGGGGUUGUGAGAUCUAAGGGCCCGAUUCUUGAUAUAUUUUUUUUUCAAUGUUUUUUAUUCAUUCAAUUUGAAGAUUUUAAACACAAAAAAGAGAAAACCCUAAUUCUUAUAUUCAUAAAGACCAUUGAAAAUCAAAUAGACAGAUUCAAAUCUGUUUUCAAAUUUAGGUAUAUAUCUAAAUUAAAAUUUAUAUAUAUUAUAUGUUGUAAUUUAAUUCGUGAUUGCAAAUUUUGUGUGCAACUUGAUUUUAAUUUGUCAUUGCCAUAUUUACACUACCAUAAUUAAAUUAUAACAAAUUUCAUUUACUAUGUUUUACAUGGGUAGUCGCUAAUAAAUUGCAUUAUUCAUCAUUUGAACUAUAAUAACCUUCGUUAUCCUCACUAUCAUCACUUUCGUUCUCCCAAUCCUCCUCCUCAUCACUUUCAUUAUUUGGGCCCACUGGAACUUCAUAUCGCGGAAGAUCACCGAGGUCAAUUGUAAUUGACUGAAUCGGUAUUUCGAUUGAAGACACUCCUUGAAGCUGAAACGGUUCUUGUAUAACAUUUGUAUCUCAAAGUGUUUCUGCAUCAUUUUCCAUGAAAGAUUCCAACCGUUGGUUAGUGACGUUGUCGACGUCGUUGUCAGUUGGGCCUAGUUAUGGUAUAGCAUACAUGUUCCUCUGAUCCAUCUACUGAGCAACUUUCCAACUGCUUCCAGCUUUAGGGUCAUCUAGAUACACAAUCUGUCUUGCCAUGUUUGCCAAAUGUAAAGGUCGUCAUCAUACCAAGUUCUGUUAAUGUUCACUGAUAAUAAGUCAUGGUCUAUUUUAACACUUCCCUGCCUAUUUGGGUUUGUAUCAAACCAUCGACACUUAAACAUGAUCACUUGGUAUCGGUCUUUGUAAAGCAAUUGUACAACAGUUGUGAGUUUGCCAUAAAAAUUAAUGUUUGUACUUUCGCUUCCACCUGGGACAUGGACACCGCUAUUUUACGUACACAACUUGUCAUCUCGUGUAGUCCACAAAAACUUGAUGCCGUUAACAUGGCAACCCGAGAAUAAUUCAACGCGAAUCGGGCCGAACGUCAAGUUAUAUAACUCUUCACUGUAAAAGGGUGAAUUCGAUGAUUUCAACUUAUUCACCUAAUAUUAUACAAAAACAUUCACAUGUUAGUUUGAUAACAUUAAAUAAUACUAUAUAUAUAUCAAAUACAAAACACUUAUAACUUACAUAUUUCAAAAACCAUUGUGGAAACAAAUCACGGUGUUUCGUGGCAUACAAAUGUGAUGGAUGUUCUCGCUUCAUCAUCUCUUCAUACUCAUCUAAAUAUGUCAUUAUCUCAUCACAAUUGUUAAGUACGAACCAAUGCGCUACAUCCAUGUCAUUUCUGAAAAACGACCCUCCUCGUACAGGAUCUCCAACGGGUCGUGCGCUUUGGGCAAAAAUAGAAAGUUUCUCAUUUCUCAGACCUCUGUCAUUAUUGCGCUGAGGAUGAUUGAAAGCCGUGUCCACAUCUUUUAAAUACAUUCCAAAGAAAGUAAGCAACUCAUAUUGAACCCAAGCCUCUAUAAUUGAUCUUUCGGGCUUCGCCCUGUUGCGUACAUUUUUUUCAGCUCUCCUAGAAGCCUGCUAAAAUAAAAUGAACCACUACAAAUUAGCGAGCGUGGGAUAAGGAUGCAUAAACAAAUGAUGAGGAUUAUAUACUUUUCUAUUGGAUACAUCCAGCGAUAGUUGACAGGACCAGCGAGCAAUGCCUCUUCUGGCAAGUGAACCAUCACGUGGAUCAUACUUGUGAAGAAAGCUAGAGGGAAUAUCAUCUCGAACUUGCAUAGGACUUGGACAAUGUCAUGGCGCAACUGAUUAAUGUAUGUCUUUCGCAAUGUUUUUGCCGUUAGUUGGGAAAAAAAUCUGGACAACAACAUGAUUGGUUCCACUACAUCUUCUGACAAAAGAUGUCGAAUACCCACAAGAAGUAGGCUUUGCAUAAACACAUGGCAGUCAUGGCUCUUUAGUCCAAUAAAUUUACCCCCGUCAAUAUUAACGCAACACGCAAUAUUAGAAGCAUACCCAUCGGGAAACUUUAUAGAUGAUACAAACUUUAGAAAAUCUUUUUUGUCAUUCGGUUUCAUGGAAAAACAAAUGUCAAUUCCCUUCUAGCUUUAUCACCUUCCCUAUUCAUCCAUAAACCUCUUCGUAUGCCCAUUCUUUCCAAAUCAAGACGAGUUUUGAUCGUGUCCUUUGUCUUACCCUCGAUAUCUAGAAUCGUGCCCAUCAAUGUGUCAAAGACAUUUUUCUCAACAUGCAUAACGUCGAGAUUGUGCCUCAAUUUUAGUUUCGACCAAUAUGGGAGCUCAAAAAAUAUAGGCUUGUGCGUCCAGUUCAAAUGUGUAGAAGGUCUGGUUCGAGUAACUGUUUUCCCGAACGGAGAAAAAUCCAAACGGUUAAGCUGUUCCAAGAUCUCUUCACCGGACCAUUCUCUAGGUCUGAGGCGAUGCUCUGUGUUCUCGUCAAACUCUUUAUCCUUUCUCUGCCACUCGUGGUCCCAUGGCAACCAUCUCCGAUGACCAAGAUAACAAACUUUUUCCGCGUGCCAACCAGAAGUUACAUCUUCCUUGCAUACAGGGCAUGCCAUAUAACUCUUUGUGCUCCACCCAGAAACCAUUGCAUAUGCAAAAAAUCAUUCACAGUCCACAUAACUGCUGCCCGCAAAGUGAACAUCUUCUCAGUAGAUUUAUCGUACGUGUGCACACCGUUUGUCUAUAAAUCCUUGAGCUCAUCAACCAACGGCCUUAAGUAAACAUCGAUUGACUUGUCAGGAUCCUCAAUUAUCAAAAUAGUCAUCAUCAUGUAUUCUUUUUUCAUGCAUUUCCAAGGCGAAAAAUUAUAUGGGAAUACGAAAAUAGGCCAAGUGCUGUGGUGUUGGUUUAGAAUCCCGUACGAAUUGAAUCCGUCAAUGGCAAGUCCCAAUCUUACAUUUCGGGGAUCAGCAGCAAACUCGGGGAAUGUUCGAUCAAACUCUUUCCAUGCCUCCCCAUCUGCAUGAUGCCGCAUCACAUCGUCGUCUACCCGUUUUUCCUUAUGUCAUCUCAUGUAUGUGGCAGUAUGAGUCGACAUAUACAAUCGUUGUAACCUAGGUUUCAAGGACAGAUAACGCAUGAAUUUUUGUGGGAUCUUAAUCGUUCUAUUCUGAGAUGUCAUCUUGAACCUCGACUCUUUGCAUAUAUGGCAUGUAUCCAAUGUUUCAUACUCUUUGUAGAAUAACAUGCAAUUGUUUUUGCAAGCAUGAAUUUUUUUCAUAACCCAAUCCAAGACCAUUCAACAACUUUUGCGCGUGUCUAUGGUCUUCCGGCAAACAAUUGUCCGUCGGAAGCAUUCUCUUGAAAACCCCCAAAAAGUAAUCGAAACACAGAUUCGACAUACGAUACUUUAUUUUUCCGUGCAUUAGCUCCACAAUGGCCGUGAGAAUGGAAAAGCUCUCGCACCCUGGGUAUAACUCUUAGUUUGCAUUUUUUAACAGUUGUUCAUAUUGUUCGAACUCUGCACUAUCCAUUGGGGUAGGCACGUCAUCUUCCCCUUCCUGAUUGAUGUUGGUCGAUGCAAAUAGAAAAGCAUCAUUUAUAAUAUCAAUGACUUGUUCAUUAGGAUCCACAAUAGGUUCAACAUUGUCCACCAUUGUGGCAUUUGAAGAUGAAGCAUUGUCUAAUUGUUCCCAGUGAAGGUUCCAAAUGCUAUAUGUCUCAAUCAUUCCAUUCCUUACUAAAUGAAAUCCAACAUUUUCAAUUGUCUCCCACAACGUGUUGUUACACCUCCUACAAGGACAACGGAUUCUAGUUGCACGCGGGUUGUGUCUAUGUGCAAACUCAAUAAAAUCCUCGAUUCCAUCCAAGUAUUCGUAUGUGCAUCUAUUCGGUUUAUGUAUCUACCUUAUACUCAUAACUCCUGAAACCACAAUCACAACAACUUCAUACGAAGUUAUAAUGUCACCUUAUGCCUCCGGUAAGGGCCCUAUCCCAUUCAGGAAUGCAUAGUCCUGUCACGUAACCUACAGCUACAUGAGAUUAGAUUUCGACGUGGAUGAAUUUCGGCAGCAUCUCGAUACAGUUCUUGAGGUGGGCAUAGGUAUAAAUACCUACAUACCACCCCAAGAACGUACCGAGAUGACACUGAAAUCUCCACAAUCGAAACCUAAUCCUGUAGCUGUAGAUUACGUGACAAUACUAUGUAUUACCAAACUGUCCAAAUAAUGGGACAAUUUAAGAAUUAAUUGGACCGCAGUCAUACUUUACGCAUUCAUGCACGAAAUCCAACUAAUCUCGAAUGGGAAACUAAGUGUUACUAAAAAAUAAUAAUAAAAGUACGAAGUUAAUUUCAAUUAACUUCGUACAUCACAAUACAUUGUGCUACGUCACGCAUAAUUUCACAACAUAAUAUAAAUAUAAUUUCACAACAAAAAAUAUAAAUAUAACAAACUAAGUUCAACAUAAUGUAAUUAAUUUAAUAUAAAAUGAAUAAAAUACCUUCUCAAUCGUUCUCCACAAUUGCUAAUUACAAAUAUGUAUAAUGAGAACAAAAUUAAUAAAGUUAGUAUGAAUUUACAUUAGUGCUUUUAAACAAACGACAAAUAAUACUUACCCAAUGAGCGUAUUGAAUUCCCAGCAGAGGCAGCAACACAGACAAAGAGAGGUUCCAAAUUUUUUUUGCAUUCUGCCUCUGCAAUGGCAGAAUCCAGAGAUGUAGACGAAGGAUUUUGCGCGACGAAACAACAUUUUCGUCCCGCAAAACCAGUUUUUCGUCGCAUAAAAUCACUUUUUUCGUUGCGUAAGCACCUGUCAACAUCGGGCUUAUGCGCUACGAAAUUUCCGAUUCGUCGUGCAACCUUUCGUCGAGCAAAAUCUAAACGGCGUCGCGCAUACACAAAUUUCUGUCGCACAAGAACAUGCUGACAUCAAACUUUAGGCGACGAAAUGUAUUUUUGUUGUGCAAGUAUUUGGCGCCAAAAAAAAGAUAUCGCACAUUUUUCUGUCCACCUUUACGUGACGAAAUAUGAAACCGUCGUGCUAGGAUAUCUUUCGCGACGAUCAAUAUCGUCGCGCAAAUGUUUGGCGCUAAAAAAAAUAAAGCCGGGUUUUUCUUCCCUCACUUUGCGUGAGAACUCAUUUGUUUGUCGUGCUAAGUUUCUUUGCGCGACGAAUUUUUGUUUCCGUCGCUGAAGUGUAUUUUGCGCGACGAAUUAAAGAAACAUAACAACGUAGAUUUAAAACAUAGCCCACAAAAAAUUAAAGCAAACCCAAUAAGAUUCAAAGGAUUUAAGGAAAACCCAAUUAUAAUAAUAAAAGGAAAGAAGUUUUACCCAAGGCAUCCAAUUGUUGCUUCUUGGUAGAACCAAGUGGUCUGCCUCUGGCUUUCUUGAUGGAAGUGGGUGAAGCAGAACCUGCAAAUAGAGGAGGAUGAGGGGGAGGAGUUGAGCUUUGAGGUUGAACUUGGUGGUUGAUGAUGGAGUUGAGCUUUGAGGUUGAAUGAGAACGAGAAUGAGAGCUUGAUAGGGAGAGGGAGAGAGAUGAUGAGAGGGAGUUGCAGCUAAGGUUAGGAAAUGAAGGAAUGAGAGAGGAGAGAUAGAGUAGAGUCCAUGAGUUUUAGUUUUGGAGUCCAAUCAAGUAUCGAAGGGUACAUGGUAAACUUUUCAAAUAACCACUCAAGCCUUGCCACAUGUAAAUUAAAUUAAACAAAUAAUAAUUUAAUUUAUAAUUAGUCCGGUUUGGUUGAUGACAUAUUACAAAACUCCUAAAUCGCACUGAACUAAACCAAAUUGGUUCGGUUUGAUCUGAUUUUUCAAACUAUUGACCUUUUUUCUUCUUCAAUCAAAAUCAAACCAAACAAAACUAAUAUAAUCGAUUCUGCUGGAUUGAUGCCCACCCCUAUAUGCAAAGAUGCUAAUAAUAUUUAUUUAACGAUAAACUAGCCCCUUGGCACACACUCAUGCAUGUGCCAAUUGGUUUUCUUUUUUCUUUUUUAUUUUAUUUUUAGAAUUAAGAAAAGAUAAUAUGGGUACUUAUGUUCCAUAAAAGUAGCACCUAUUAUCUGAUUUUGUUUUUAAUUUUAAUUUUUUAAAUAUGAAAAAUUGUGAAUUUACCAUAUUAUUUUUAUUUAAUUAAUAAUUUUAAUUCUUAAUGUUUAAAUUAACUAAGGUCAUUUUCUGGUAUUUUGAAUGUUUCACCAUUCUCUUCCUUUUGCUUUAUAUAUAUAGAUUUAACUGAAAUUGUUCUAAAAAAGACACGUGCACCAUUUUGACAUUUGAGCCAAUGUUUUUAGGGUUAUCUACUGUAGACGUCCCUGAACUAGGGCCUCAGUUACAAUUGGGUCUGUGAACUUUUUUUUGAGGCAAUUACAUCCGUUAACUCUAUAAAUAGUUCCAAUUGGGUCCUACCGUCCAAGUCUGUCAAUUUUUUCUGUCAAAAUAAGGGGUAAAAGCAUCCUUUUGAGCUGUAGAGGUAAUUGUUUUAACGGUUUUUAACUGUAGACGUCCCUGAACUUUGCUCCCAGUUGCAAUUGGGUCCGUGAAUUUAUUUUUGAGGCAAUUACAUCCUUUAACUCGACAAGUAGUUCCAAUUGAGUCUUGUCAUAACAGAGUAAAAGAGCUAAAAACUUAGUAACCACAAAAGAUGGGUUUGAGGCAAUUGAAGACUGACGGCUCGUGAAGAACUUCUUGAUCUUCUCCAUGCCGGCGGUCGUGGUUUCGAAGGUGUUGUUGGAUUUGGCCACGUCGACCAACGUCAUGGUGUAGCUGGCUGCUGCGGUGGCGUUCAUUCUGGCUCCAAGGGCGCCGUCGGUGUUACGGAGGUAGUGGAGGAGGAGAGCUUAAGGGGAUGAGGUUGCAAGUGGGUUCUGGCUUCUGCGGGUUGGGAGAUCUGGGGGGGGGGUUGUAAGUUGCAGGUUAGGUUGGGAUCUGGGUUUUGAGGGGGUAGGCUAAGGAGGAGGGUGAAUGAGCUGUAGAAGAGACAGAGAGAUAGAGAGGGAGAGCUAAGAGAGAGAGGGACAAAUUCUGUUACGGUAUGACUCAAUUAGAACUACUUGUCAAGUUAAAAGAUGUAAUUGCCUAAAAAAAGUUCAUGGACCCAAUUGCAACUAUGAACAAAAUUCAGGGACGUCUACAGUUAAAAACCGUUAAAACAAUUACCUUUGCAACUCAAAAGGACGCUUUUACCACUCAUUUUGACGGACAAAUUGACGGACUUGAAUAACAAAAUCUAAUUGGAACAACUUGUAAAGUUAAAAGAUGUAAUUGUCUAAAAAAAAAAAAAAAGUUCACGAACCAAUUGCAAGUGAGGGCAAAGCCCAAGAAGGUCUACAGUUAAAAACCCAUGUUUUUAAUAAAAAAACCCGAAGGUCACUUUCGGCAUUGCAGUACUCUCUUUAUAAUACUAGCUCCCUGGGAGGCUGAAACCCUAAAAUUGCUUUGUUUUCACGCCGAGCAAAAUGUUCCACUGUUUAUUUCUUACGGAGUCUUUUUUUUUCUUCCUUAGAAAACAAAUUUAAAAAUUGUUGAUUCUUUUGGCUGAAAGAUGGUUUUUGAUUUACAUUAUCUUUCGGUUCAAGUAUGAUUCCCGAUGAUGAACAAAUUGAAAAAGCUAAAGAGCGGUAAGCGUGGUUGUUUUCUUCAUCAGCCUAUACUCACCACCACUGUAACCUCUCUCUCUCUCUCUCUCUCUCUCUCUCUCUCACACUCUCUCUCUCUCUCUCAUACAUACAUACAUAUAUAUAUAUAUAUAUACGCAGUGCUGUUGAGUAUACAGGCUGUUGAUGAACGCCACUUGCUUCAAACCGUGAAUGAUUCGUUAAAAGCUAUGAGAUCUGAGGGCAUUUUGAUAGAUCUCACUCUAUACAACUACCCAUUCGGGGAUUUAGCCUUAAACGUGGUUAAAAUUUGCGGAACUAGUUACUUUUACACUUGCAUGUUCAUUUCUGCCCCAAAUUUCCUUGCUUUCAUAGUUAUGCUUUUGCUUUGCCACUGAUUGUUUAUACUGCUCUACUUUUGAAAUGGAUUUUCGUAAGAACCCAUUUUUGUUACUGCGUGUUAGGCAUUUGAUGUUAAGUUGGCCCAAGAUCUGCUAAUGUCCGUGACUAUGGUUUGUAAACUACAGUGGCAUAUUUUUUUAAGUGGAUUUUUGUUUUUUCAUUUUGUCAUAUGUAGUGGGUUCCUGGUAUUGUUAAGUUGGAUUGUGGGGGAAUGAUGAUACAUGCACUGGUCUCUGAGCAGUUUGUAACUGCGAUUAUUGAUGGAAAUGCAGCCUAGAAAUAUGACCCUUGUAGAAAUCUUUAACCUUGCUGUGAUAAAGGUGUUCCAACUAACCCAACGUUGAUAGUAGUGAUGCUGUGUUAUGAUAAGAUUUGCUGUCUUUUUGUCUGUUCUGUGUAUCUCCAUGAUCUACUUUUAGAUGGCCGUUCUUUUUUGAGUUUUUAACAAUGUUUUCUAGUGUAGCUGAUUUGCUGCCACAGCAAGAUGGUCCAAUUUUUAUUAGCCUAAUGAUGGAAAACUCGUUUUUUGAGCGGUUCUGUGGAUUAUUGUUAGGAGCCUUUUCUAUCAUUUUUGCUGUACUAGCCAUUAUCAUCAUCAAAAACACCAUCCUCUGUCUGUCUGUCUGUCUCUCCCUCUCUCUCUCUCUCUCUCUCUCUCUCUCUCUCUCUCUCUCUCUCUCUCUCUCUCUCUCUCUCUCUCUCUCUCUCUCUCUCUCUCCCUGGCUUGUAUGGUUGAAGAUGUGAAGAGGCUCGUAGUGAUAAUCCAGUGGUUAACCGUCAAUGACCAGAUAUAGCUAUGAGAUCUGAAGGCUUGUCCAGAGACAUUUGUUCCUCCUAAGAUAUGUGAUUGAAUCUUAAAUCAUUUUUGUUCCUCAGUUAUUCUAUGGUUGUAUUUUCUUAGUUUCCACAUAUUUAUUACACUUCUCCUUUAUUACAUCCUUUAUUUACCAUUGCAUCGAAGUUGCGACUGCGUUUCGUUGUAGUAGUGAUGCUGUGUUAACGAUCAGAUCUACUCUUUUGUCUAUUCUGUGUCUCCAUGAUAUAACUGUAGAUGCCCACUGGUUUUUGUUUUUUUUUUAAGAAUGUUUUCUAGUGUAGCUAUUUUGCUGCCUCAGAAAUAUGGUUCAAUUUUUAUUAGCCUAAUGAUGGAAAACUCAUUUUUGGAGCGGUUCUGUGGAUUAUUGUUAGGAGCCUUUUCUAUCAUUUUUGCUUACUAGCCAUUAUCAUCAUCAUAAACACCAUCCUCUAUCUAUCCAUCUCUCUCUCUCUCUCUCUCUCUCUCUCUCUCUCUCUCUCUCUCUCUCUCUCUCGCUCUCUCUCUCUCUCUCCCUCCCUCCCUCCCCCCUGGCUUGUAGUGUUGAAGAUGUGAAGAGGCUCAUAGUGAUUAUCCAGUGGUUAACUGUCAAUGACCAGACAUAGCUAUGAGAUCUGAAGGCUUGCCCAGAAACAUUUGUUUCUUUUAAGAUAUGUUUAUUGAAUCUUAAAUCAUUUUUGUUCCUUAGUUAUUCUAUGGUUGUAUUUUCUUGGUUUCCACAUAUUUAUUAUGCUCCUCCUUUAUUAUGUCCUUUAUUUACCAUUGCUUCGAAGUUGCGACUGCAUUUCAUUGUAGUAGUGAUGCUGUGUUGACGAUCAGAUCUACUCUUUUGUCUAUUCUGUGCGUCUGCAUGAUAUAACUGCAUAUGCCCACUCGUUUUUGUUUAUUGUUUUUAACCAUGUUUUCUAGUGUAUCUAUUUUGCUGCCUCAGGAAGAUGGUUCAAUGUUUAUUAGCCUAAUGAUGGAAAACUCAUUUUUGGAGCGGUUCUGUGGAUUAUUGUUAGGAGCCUUUUCUAUCAUUUUUGCUGUACUAGCCAUUAUCAUCAUCAUAAACACCAUCCUCUCUCUCUGUCUCUCUGUCUCUCUGUCUCUCUCUCUCACUCUCUCUCUGUCUCUCUCUCUCUCUCUGUGGCUUGUACGGUUGGAGAUGUGAAGAGGCUCGUAGUGAUAAUCCAGUGGUUAACCGUCAAUGACCAGAUAUAGCUAUGAGAUCUGAAGGCUUGCCCAGAGACAUUUGUUCCUUUUAAGAUAUGGUUAUUGAAUCUUAAAUCAUUUUUGUUCCUCAGUUAUUCUAUGGUUGUAUUUUCUUGGUUUCCACAUUUUUUACACUCCUCCUUUAUUAUGUCCUUUAUUUACCAUUGCAUCAAAGUUGCGACUGCGUUUUGUUGUAGUAGUGAUGCUGUGUUAACGAUCAGAUCUACUCUUUUGUCUAUUCUGUGUCUCCAUGAUAUAACUGUAGAUGCCCACUCGUUUUUGUUUUUUUUAAACUGUGUUUUCUAGUGUAGCUAUUUUGCUGCCUCAGGACGAUGGUUCAAUUUUUAUUAGCCUAAUGAUGGAAAACUCAUUUUUGGAGCGGUUCUGUGGAUUAUUGUUAGGAGCCUUUUCUAUCAUUUUUGCUUACUAGCCAUUAUCAUCAUCAUAAACACCAUCCUCUAUCUAUCCAUCUCUCUCUCUCUCUCUCUCUCUCUCUCUCUCUCUCUCUCUCGCGCGGGCGUGUAGAGAUGAAGAUAAAAAGAGGCUCAUAGUGAUAAUCCAGUGGUUAAAUGUCAAUGAAUAUAUAUAGCUAUGAGAUCUGAAGGCUUGUCUAUAGACAUUUUUUGUCCUUCUAAGAUAUGCUUAUUAAAUUGUAAAUCACUUUUCGUCCUUAGUUAUUCUAUGGUGUUUUAUCUUCAUUUCUACAUAUCUAUUACGCUCCUCUUUAUUAUGCCCCUUAUUGACCAUUAUAUGGAAUUUGUGACUGCAUUUCGUUUUAAACAUUUGCACUGAAUAAUAUGUAUUUCCCAUGUGGUGCAAAUAUCCUUCCCAAGGUGCCCUUGAAACGCUGAUAAAAUUAAUGUGAUGGAACUUCAGUCAACUGCAAAUAGUAGAGCGUCCUGGAAUGUGGUUAUUUUGACAUUGUCAAUGGCACAGUUAAGAGUUUCAAUUGGUUUGUUUUUCUUUUGGUUUGGUGUGACUAUUUGGCAACUAUUGUAUGAAAUUUUGUUUGCUAGUGCUAGUUUAGAUAUUUAAGGUGUAUGGCUAACUGUAUGAGAUUCCAUAGAUUAAAUUGUGUUUGAUGGUAGAUUCCAUUUUAGUACUCCAUUGAUCUGAUCUUUGUUGGAAUUCAAAUAAAAGGUGAAGUUAUUAUUGUAGGUUUGAGCAUAUGAGACUUUAAAAAACAACGCUGUACUAAUGAUCAGAUCUAGUGUCUUUUGUUUAUUCUGUGCCUUUCCACGUUCUACUUGUGGUUGUCUGAGUUUAUAUUUCUUGCCUUUUUUAUUUUUUGGGAUUACCUUGUAAUGUAAUCUAACAAAUUUGCUGCCUCAGAAAAUUGGUGCAAUUUUUUAUUAGCCUGGUGAUGGAAACCUCUUUUUUUUGUUAUGAUUUUUAUAGCACUUUAUAUUAUAAGACUGCAGGUACCUGAAUAGUUUUUUGUAACACAGUUUCUUAUUACUUUCAAUGAGCUUUAAAAUUUAAAUCUGGUUUUCAUUUGUGAAGUACAGAACAGUUAUGAACUGUUUGAGUACCUUUGAGCUUACUUGAUGUCUCAAUUUUCUUACUAGAUAUAUUUAUAUAAACUAAAAUCUUUAGAAUAUUUAAGAAUAUAUAUUAAUUUAUAAUUUAUAUAUUAAUUAUUUAAUUGAAAUGUAAUUUAAUGGUGUCAGGCAUUUGAUGUCAAGUUGGUUCAAAAUCCGCCAAUGUCUAUGACCAUGGUUUGUAUUAUGGCUUGUUGUGUAUAAUGGCAUAGUUUUUAAGUGGAUUUUAAAAUUUUCUUUUCCGUGGUCUGGGUUAAUUGCUAAGUGGGACUUUGGUGAACAAUGAUACAUGCAUUGGGCUUGGAGCAGUUUAUGACUGCAGCCAUUGAUGGAAAUGCAACCUAGAAAGCUAUAUAUGACCCCUGUAGAAAUCCUUGCAUUCCUGUGAUACGGGUGUUGCAAUGUUAGGAUGAAAUUUUUAUCUGCUAGUUGUAGGGGUAUGGCUGACUGCAAGAGAUUCCAUACAAGUAAAUUGUGUUUAUCUGGUAUAUUUUCAAAUUGGGUGUUCAGGACAUGGUGUUGAUUGAAAAUCUACUCAUGCUCAUGGCUACGGUCGUAUUUGUGGCGAGUAAUUUAUAGUGAAUUGGUAUUAAAAUCGAGUGAUGUACAUGCAUGCACUGAGCUCCGAGCUGUGGUUAUUGAUGGAAAUGCAGGCAGCUUAGAAAACUAUAUAUGAGCCUCCAUGAAAUCCUUUUGCUUUUCUGUUCGCAGGUGUUGGAUUUAAAAUGAAAUUUCUGUUUGGGCUAGAUUGGAUUCUUAAGGUAUGGAUUGGACUUUGUAGUAUUAAACUGUGUAUGGAAGUGGAUUUUGUGUGAUUACAAUCAUUGGAUCAGUUGCACUCCUUUGGCCUGAUGAUGGAAAACUCAUUUCUGGGAGCGGUACUAUGGAUUAUUAUAAGUAUGAGCCUUUUCUAUCAUUCUUUCCAUGCUAGUCCUCAUCAUCAUCAUCAUCAUCAUCAUCAUCACCACCACUCUCUUUCUCUCUCUCUCUCUCUCUCUCUCUCUCUCUCUCUCUCUGUGGCAUGCAUGGCCGAAGAUGUGAAGAGGCUCAUACUGAUAAUCCAGCAGCUAACCGUCGAUGACCAGAUAUAGCUAUGAGAUCUGAAGGCUUA